rnacentral:lncRNA from 1 species
UAAAAAAAAACGUAUUAUUCUUUUAUUUUUUAUCAGUUUUUAAAUUCACAUAUUUAUAUUAAAAAAAAAUCAGUAGUUCUCUAUUGCUAUAGUUAAUGUUAUUGUAGUAUCAAUGAAACGUCGUGAUAUUUUUUUAACAUUUUUUAGUAUGUUUAUUAUAUAGUAUCUUAUGUCUCUUAUAUAAAAUCGAUGGAUCCACUAUCGUUUAGUUUAAUACUUUAUUUGACAAAUAGCCAAGUGAUCAUGACAUUGGUUUAGCUAUGCUGUCCAUAUGUAACGUCAUAGCAUAGCACAAAUGCAAUUUUUGCACUUUUAAUUUAAUAUUUUAUUUGAUAAAUACACAUAUAUAUAUGAGAUUUUAAUAAUUAACUGUAAAGAUUAGACGUAUGGUAUGAUUUUUUCAUUUUAAUUAAAAAAUAAAACAUUUCAUAUGGUAGUUGUUGAUCUCAAUCAAAUAAAUCCGUAGGUUACAUAUUUGUUUAUAAUUUUAUAAAAUAAAGUAUUUGUUAUUGCAAAAUUCCAAAAGACAAAUGCACAUGCAGGGCAGGUGCAAAAGACCAUCCCCUCUCCAUUAUUCUCCUAAACAUUUUGUUACUUUUUUUUUUUUUUAUAAAUAUUUUGAGAGAGAUUGUUUUAAACAUUCAACACGUAUGAAAUAUAGUCAACAUUUAGUAAUUCAAUUUCACACUAUUAAAGUAAUAAUAAACAGUGGUCUCUGUGAAUAAAUAAAUAUAGUUUUAAAUUAGUAAAUAAACGUUUCAAUACUUGUAAAUAAGCUAACAUAUUUUAUAUUCAUAUAGUUUUUUUUUCUUAAUUUUAAAGUUGAUUACAAUCUUUUUUUAAUAAUUUAAAGUCAAAUUAAAGUAUUAUAACAUUUGUAUUUAAAAAGUUUUCAAGUGAUUUUGGACACAUAUAAUGUAAAAAUGAUUUGUAAUCAUAGAUUAGAGAUGCAUACAAGCACAACUUACCGAAUUUAACAUUUAUUGACUUUUAAUUUCAUGUUAUAUAUUUAAGAUUAAAAGCAUUUAAUGGCUUUCAAACCUAUUCUGUAUGCCUGAUAUGUAUAAUAAACAGUAUAAAACUGUCUAUAUUAAGUAUUGGAUUUUUUUCAAAAGUAUUUAAGUUUUUAAGUUCGUGAUAAUUCAAUUAUUUUUAGGUUGUAACAAAAAUAACAAAGUAUGUCGUUUAAUUUGAAAAAAUAGUAAAAAUAAUUUUAAAUUGUUAUAAUAGUAAAACAUAAAAAUUACAAAAAAAAAAAAAAAAACAAUCUCUCAAAUACCCCAACCCAAUAUAAAAAUUACAAUUAUUUAACUAAACUUAAAAUAUAUUGUAAUUGAAAUAACACAUGCUAAUUAGAAAAUCUGUCAUUAAUGAAAAGUUUCACCUCAUAUCUGCAAAAUUUAAAAUUUAUUUAAAUGUCUACAAGACCCAAUUCAUUCGAAAUGAGUAGUUGCAAAGUCGAGACACAUUCAAUCAAAGGGUUUGGCUCUACACGUGUCGAACAACCAUAGUUGAAAGCUUCAAAUUAAAAAUGGGAGCAUUGUUGAUAUUACGAUAAAGAUUAAAUCAUUAAAUUAUACCAUAGAAUUAAAAACUUAUAUACAAGAUACGCAUCGGUGAGUUCUUCAUACAUUCGAGAUUCAUUUGAGUUAUUUUCUCUUGUUUGCAAUAAAAAAAUUAUCUUUCACAUUAUGUUUAUCUCUUGUUGGCUGUCUCUCUCCCUCCCUUUAUUUUUUUUUAUCUAAUAAAACCUAAAAGAAAACUAUUCAAAUAAUUUAAAAAAUGUGAUUGAUGCAUAAAUAAAUCCUAAAAUUUAAAUUCAAUUUUUUAUUAAAAGCUACAUAUUACGUGUUAUUUAAUAAAUUGUUUAAAAUAUAACAAAUUUGAAGAUAGUCAUUAGCACAAAUAUAAUCCAGCAACAAAAUAACAAAUUUAGGUACAAUAAUUUUUUUUAUAAUAAAAAUCAAUCAAAAUAUGUGUAUAAUAAUAAUUAGCACAAAUGUAGUGAUGAUAAAACUUUGUUUUUAAAUUACUAUUAACCAUACGUAACAUGUAUUAUCUGAUAAUUUUUUUUUAAAUAACUUCAAAUAUAAAUAAUACGAAAUGCUUAAUUUAUGUUUGCUAUUAAGGAUAUGAUGUAGUAUUUAAAAUCAAAAUAUAAUGAUUUGGAAAUGAUUCAAAUUCUCAUAAUCAUUUUUUAUUAACCAUAGGUAUUAUGUACUAUCAUAUGAAAAUAAUGAAGUAGUGAUUGUCAUUGUUUUAGGGAUUAGAUUUCAUAAUAUUUGAAUUAAAAAUAUUAUGAAAUGUAAUGAAUGGAGAACGAUUGAAAUUCUUUUAACAAUUUUGUAGGGAAAAUUUUAUUAAACAUUAAUUAAAUAAAUAAAUGUUAAUUAAUUUGAUUUAAAUACUAAAAAUUCGAAAAUUUGUUAUGAAUUAUAGAGAUAUAUUUAGGGUAUAUAGAGAAAAUCUUGUUAGCCCAAAUUAGUUAAUAUUUUUCCAAACUAAUAGUAGUUUGCAAAUACACUUUAUAUGUGAUUGUGUGUUAUUUGACAAAUACAUUGUAUCUGAAAACACCUAUAGUAACUACCAGUUUUGUCAAAAUUCUUAAUAUUUUUCAAACUUUCUAUUUUUAAACUUGUUAUGUUAAAUUUUGCUAUUCACCGUUAUCUCUUAUUUUUAUAUUUUUUAAAAACCAAGCCACUAACUUGUUAAACACAAAAUUAAAAAUUAAUAUCUUAUAUUCACUAUUAAAAAAAACACAUACAUGCACACGAACAUACAAAAAUAUCUUAAACAUAAAAGUUAUUAAAUAUACUCUUAAUUAAAAAAAAAAAAAACGAAGAAUGAUAUAACUAUAAAAAAAACUCUAAGAAAAGACCAUCUCAAACAUUUGAUGUGUUGGUUUGAUAACAAAAAUAACAUCAACUUAAAACUCCCUCACUUCAUCAUCAAUCCUUCAAAACUUUUGAAAAGUUUGAUCCUUGACUCUUAUACACUAAAGCUCUAUUUGGGAUAGAGUUUGAAAUGGUUGAAAGGGAUUGUGAAAAAAUCUUAAUAUUUAGAUCUAAUAUCAUUUUAAUAAGAAAUCUUGUAAUUUCUCAACCACACAUAUAUAUUAGUGAAAUUUUAAAAAAUAAAAAUUUUUAUCAAAUGUUUACGGUCUAUAUAGCAUUCUAAAUAUUUGAAUUUAUUUUGUUAUUUUAAAAAAUGCUAGUAUAUAUUACAAUAAUAGUUUUCAUAUUGGUAUAUUUUUCAAAUUUGAAUAGAUUCAAUUUAAUUAUUUUCUCAAACCUUUAUCAAAUAUUUUAAAACAAAUUAUUAUUUAAUUAUCAACGAGAAUAUAAUGAAAAUAAUAAAUCAAUUUAUUAUUAAUUUAUCUAACGAUUUAAAUGAAUACAUACCCAAAACUAAUUUAUUUAUUUACAUAGUCGAGGAAACAAAGGCGACAUCUAUUAUUCUAAAAGCAAUAGCAACUCCGAAGUCGGAAAAAGGAACCAUAUAAAAGGGGGACACCCACGAGUACCGCCAGAAGUCGGCCAUGCGUGUAGCUUCGCGGCAUACAACAACGAUUCGUAUUUCAUAGAUAGACUUAGACUACACAUUGACCCUUUAACUCUGGUCUGGUUAGCCACUGACUCCCCCCAUCUCCUUCAAACGCUCUCUCCCUUCUUCCAUCCUUCCUUUAUUUAUUUAUUUAUUAUUAUUAUUAUUCAUUUUCUUAAUCUCCUCCCGAAUCCUUGUCUUCUCCUCUCCCAUGGUGUCCAACUAGCCGGCAACAUCACCCUUUCACCUCUCUGCAAUGUUGAACCUCUUCUCUUUGUCUCACCGCAUUUUCAUUUCCAUCUUCAUCUUCCUCUUCCUCGUCUCUCCGCCGUUGCUUCCUUCCUCCGCUCUUCCUCUCUCCGACUCCGAUCAACCGCUUCUCGCUAAUACUACGCUCCAGUCCAAUAAUGUUUCCGUUCCGAGGAAUAAGGAAGGUAGUUUUGCUGACAUCAUUGAUCGUGCUUUGGAGAAUGAGUUCAAGGAGAAUGACCAGAAUGAAGGUUAGUAGAUCUUUAGAUCUCGGCUUCUCACUUGUUUUUUGUUAGGGUUUUUAUUACUUUGGUGUAGCUAACUGCGGUUUUAGUGGUGAAUCUAUGUUAAUUGUGGUAUGCGGGUGUGUUGAAACGGUUUUUUUUUUUUUUUGUUUGCUACUAUGGCUCUAGGAGUAGGAUAAGGUAGAUGACUAGUUUUUGAUCUUGUGUGGUUUAAUUCUUUUGUAGUUAUUGGAUACGGAAUUCCUUUUCUUAGUAAGAGGAUGGUAUUGCGAAAUUUGUCUGGAAUUAUGGUUCCUGUAUGAAUUUGAGCUUUUCAUUUUUAUCGUUUAGAUCAAUACCUACCGAUCCCGUUUGUUAUUUCUACUAUUCUAUUGCUUGUGUUUCUUACUUGUUUUCUUUUAAAUGUUCGAUUAUUUUGAGUAAAUUGUCCAAUACGAUUGCUGGUGGUGUUGUUAUUGCAGCUCGUAUGAUGUUAAUAUAUUCUAUCUUCUGUUUGAGUAAUAUGAGGACAUUUCUCUCUCUUGCGUUUCAGCAAUUGAUUCAGGAAGCUUCAACAACAGUGUAGCAGAGCAGCAGGUUGGUAGUGAUAUGUUUUGUCAAUGUAGUAAUCAUUAUUUUCAAAAAACUUUUGAGCACAACUUGUGAGAAUUAUGGAUUUUACUCUGAUUUUGAACGAGCAAAAUAAUCUGUUCCAAACAUACGGGCACAAAAAUGUGCUGAUUUGGCCCUCAUUGAUUGGCGUUGUUGAUUAGGCAACUCUGGAGACUGUGGCAAGGGUGAAGUCAAAGAAAAAUGAUACGAAAGAGGAAAAGUAUAUGCUUCUUACUUUAGUAUUACAUUUCACUUUCAGGCCAUGCUAUACUGGAUUAAGCGUGCACUUCCUUAAACACUUGUGUUUCUACUUUAGGUUUCAGCUUCAAAACGUUUUCAAUUUGGACAGUGAUAAUAGAGCUGAAGAUACCCCUACAUUGAUUGAUCGAAAGGUAUGGGUAUUUCAUUUUCCGUAUUUUUUCUGUGUCAGAUCGUCAUUUUGUGCUCAAGGUUGGUAAAACAUUUUUCUUUUCUCAGGACAAUGUCUUUAUCAUAUCCAACUUUAAGUCUAAAUAUCCAGUGCUACAAUUAGACUUGAGGUAUGUUUUUAUUUUAUGCAAUUGUUCCUCAAGUAAUGACUGAUAUUAACUUCUAAUUUUAUGAGUUGGCAGAUUGAUAUCUGAUUUGGUUAUCGUAAUUGUCUCUGCAACUUGUGGCGGCAUUGCCUUUGCCUGUGCUGGACAACCAGUACGAUUAUUUUUUACCUAAGCUAUUGAAUAACAAUUGUAGGAUGUGAUCUGAUUUUCAUGACAUGGACAAUCCUAUAUAUAUGUAACCUGUGUUAUAUUUUAUCAGGUUAUAACUGGAUACCUUCUAGCAGGAUCUAUUAUUGGACCUGGAGGAUUUAACUUUGUCAGUGAAAUGGUUCAAGUACGUUGCUCCUAAUCUAUCAUUUAUAGUUUUUCCAGGGCUCUUUUUUCCUCUGCCUAAAAAUUGGAAGAUAACAAUUACAUUUGUCAUAUUUUUCUGGUUGCAUGAGAUCUUCUCAGAUGUAUACUAUAGUAUAAUAAAUACCCCAUCAGGCUAUCCCUCUAAUCUUAUUUGUAUUUUUUUCUUCUCUAAUGAAUUUAUUUUAUAUCCAAAGUUAAAAUGGUGAGUAAUGAACCGGUAGAGACAAUAUAUAUAAGGUAAAAGAAUGGGCACUGUACAUUUUGGAUUAAUUUCUAGAAAAUGCACGAGAAAGUGGAAGCUGACUAGUUCUGUAUGCAUGGGGCUUUUAAUGAAAGUUGGUCCUAAUCUAUCAGGUUUACUGAUAGGGGUUAAUUAGUCAUUCUAUAAUUUGUUGUUAUAAAAGUUUAUUGUACAAAGUAUGUGUUAGAGAAGUUGGUGUGUUUGUUUUAAUAUUUAAAAAAAGAACGAAUGAUGGUUGCCCUCUCAAAAGAUCUCUCUCGCACUAUAAACGUAUACAAUGUAUAUUUGUCUCUUGUGAUGGUUAUUCAGAGAUAAAAAGACAUUUGUGUUGAUUUGUUUUCAUGUUGCCUUACCAAUGGCCAAAUUCUUUCUUUCGUCCUCAAGUUCCUUAUUGAUUUCUGUGAUUAGGUUGAAACGGUAGCUCAAUUUGGUGUAAUUUUUCUUCUUUUUGCACUGGGUUUGGAGUUCUCAACAACUAAGGUUAGUUUUAUUUCCAUUCAAGGUUAUUUGUAGAUGUUUAUAAAAUCACAAUACAUGUGCUAAGCCCAAUGAUAUGUUUUAGCUACGAGUUGUUCGUGCAGUUGCUGUUCUUGGCGGGCUUCUUCAAAUUUUCCUAUUUAUGUGCCUCAGUGGAAUCACAGCCUCGGUAAUAACUAGUGCUUCUCUGUAUUAUUUUUAUUUUUUUCCGGUUAACGAAAAGUCCAAACAAUCUUGUGUCAUUGACCACCCUAUUUUUUGGCCGUUGAAUAAAUUAAUUUGGAUCCUGCUUUAGCCAGGUUCUAAUACUCAACUUCCCUAUUGUUGCAUGCCUCCUAUUAAAUAAACUUUGCUUAUUUAUUUAAUGAUAAAAAAUUUGUAGCAAGUUUUACAAGACUCUUUUUCUUCGCUGUGAAUUUUAUUAUCAUUAUUGUUGUGUUGUUUUUAUUUAUUCAUUUAUUAUUAAUAUUAUUAUUAUUUUGCAGUCAUGUGGUGGGAGUGCUUCUGAAGGAGUUUUUGUCGGAGCAUUCCUAUCUAUGUCCUCAACAGCAGUGGUAGGAUACUGUAUAACUUUUUGAAUGGAUGACACUGGCAUGCUUUAUAGCCUAUGUUCUUGCCUGUAUGAUAAAAGAACAACUGUCUCGGAUUGCAGGUGCUGAAAUUUUUGAUGGAAAAGAACUCUACUAAUGCUCUUCAUGGACAAGUCACAAUUGGCACCCUUAUUCUGCAGGUAAUGUUUUAUUUUGUUUUUCUUUUCUUCAUGCAACCCUCUUAGGGGAAAAAAUUAUCGCCUAACCCAUCAGUUUCCUUGGGUUUGCAGGACUGUGCUGUUGGGUUACUGUUUGCUUUGCUUCCAGUACUAGGUGGGAAUUCUGGUAUUCUUCAAGGAGUGAUGUCUAUGAGUAAAGUGUACGUAUAAAUAGGAAUUUGUUUUACACAUGGGCAUACCCUCAAAUCUAGUUGUUACGUUUUUUCAGACAUAGUAAGUACUAUAAAUGGUUAUCUCAUGAGAAUUUUGAAGGUGCUUGCAAGUUUGCUUGGACGCUUAUGCAUUUAAAAAAAGAAAACCAAACAGUAAAUUUACUUCUUGGGCUUAAUGCUACUGGUGGUGUUCUUUCUAGAACACUUAAAGAAAGGACCAAAGAGUUCUCUAAAAUGUCUGGGAUACUUUUCUUCUGGUUACAAACUUGUGAAGUUCAAAGAUUAAGUUUGAGCUCCUUUGAGUUUGUGCAUGUUAUUCCUUCUUGUGAGGUAUUUAUUAUUAUCAAAAGAAGAGCAGAACUAGGUGCAUAAAACCAUAUUGUGUAUUUAUUAUCAGUACCUCGUGGAACUAGCUUUUUACGCCUUUUGCAGAUGGUUAGUUAUUCUUGAUAAGUCCAGGCCAGGAACUGGUUUUGUAUGACAUGUAGAUUAUACGAGAAAUUGUAGGGUAUGAAUCUUAUAUUUACAAGGUUUUGUAUUUCUCAAUCAGGUUGGUGAUCUUGGUUGGUUUUUUGGUUGCUUUGUCAAUUUUAUCCCGUACAUGUAUUCCUUGGCUCUUAAAACUGAUGAUAAGUCUAUCAUCACAGGUAUGCUUUAUUGCAUCUAUAUAUUUAUUAUUAUUGAAAUUUAUAUACCUGAUUUAACAACUAUCCGAAUUUCAAAUGCAUUGUCUAAUUUAUUUUUCUCUGCAGACCAACGAACUUUAUCAAUUAGCCUCAGUGGCGUUCUGCUUGCUUGUAGCCUGGGUCAGUAUCUACUUUUUUUUUCUGAGUUUGAUUUUAUGCAUGUGGAGAUGUCAUACUUUGAAUUGUUAUCAUUUCUAUCAUUCAGGUUUUUUAUGUAUAGGGGUACUAAGAAAGAACAUCAUUAAUUUUUUUAAAUAAAAAAUCAAACUUCCAUUUUGAAUCAUGAAAUUUUUUAAGGGCAUAUGUAAAGACAGCCCAGACAAUAGGAGACCUAACCUACUUAUAGGGCCACUAAUCCAAUAGAAUAAGGCCUGAUGGAUUAUUACAGAAGGCCUUAGAGCCCACUAUCCACCACAAGGGGGUCUUAAACUCAGUAUUAUUCCAAAGAACGCACCAAGACCGUUGAAACCCCUAAAGAAAUAUCUAAAGAUCCCAAUAUUUCGUUCACAACAAAUACACCUCCAAACCUAAAACAAAUAACAAUAAAUAGAAAUAAAUAAAUAAAUAAAAAGUCUUCCAAAGCACUUGCCUUUUAUAUCUUUGAAGGGAGGGAAUGGGACAACUUCCUUUUACUGUACACCUUUCUUCUUUUUUAAAUUAUAACUCUCUGGUGUAUGCCUACUUUGAUGGGAUACUAUUCCCAUGACUAAUGAAGUUGUAUAAUUUUAUUGGUCGCUAUAUGAUCAAUUGAAAUUACUUUGUUGGUGCUUUUCUGUUAAUUAUUGUUUUUACAAUUUCAGUGUAGUGAUAAGUUGGGCCUCAGUCUAGAAUUGGGUUCCUUUGCCGCUGGAGUGAUGAUAUCCACAACUGAUCUUGCUCAACACACACUUGAACAAGUAAGGCAUUUCAUUCCAUACUUUGUUUCAAGAGAUGUGUGGCUUAAUUGUAAUGUUACCAAGGCAUGUUGGUCUGGGUGUAUAAACUAUACAUGCAUAUAUGAAGAGUGUGUGCAUGUACUGUUUGUAUAUAUGUGUAUGUAGGUGAAUAAGGUGUUUAUUGCUCUUGCUUCUGUGUGGGGGUUUCAUAUGCUGUUAGUUUGUUUAUUUUUGUAUGGUCUUCAGAAAAUUGUAUCACAAUAUCCGAAUACUGUUAAUAUUCAAGAUGAUAGGAAUGGGUGUGAAAAGAAAUAAGGAAAAUAAGGUGGGUAGGAAUUUUGAAGGGCGAGGUGAAGUUGGAUAGAGGGAGGAUGGAUUCUUGCACUUUAAUACAGAUAAUAGGCUAGAAUUUUGUUUGAAAUGUUUGCUUUUCUGUCUCCCAAGAGUUAUGUGUUGAUUCCUAUUGAGUGAUUUUAUAAUUGCUUGUCUACAGAUAGAGCCUAUAAGGAACUUUUUUGCGGCCCUUUUUCUUGCCAGCAUUGGAAUGCUGAUACACGUUCAGUUUUUGUGGAACCACGUUGAUAUAUUAUUAGCAGCUGUUAUACUGGUGAUAAUUGUAAAAACAAUCGUAAUUAGCACAGUGGUGAAGGGAUUUGGGUAUAACAACAGGACAGCACUUUUGGUGAGGUUAUAUUACUAUAUCCUCGGCAUUCAUCCUUGUUCAUGAUAUGUUAUAAAUAACUGGUUUUCUCUUCUGGAUAUUGAUUUGUGAUGUGUAGGUUGGAAUGUCUUUGGCUCAGAUAGGAGAAUUUGCUUUUGUUCUUCUCAGCCGUGCUUCUAAUCUUCAUCUAGUUGAGGUCAGUGCCAUUAUCUUGCUUCUCAGGAAAAACAUUAAAUGAGAUGCAUGUAAAAAAAAUCUACUGUUAAUCAUAAAUGAUGAUGCACGAUCUCUGAAAUUCUUGGGGGAUGUUUUGGCGUGGAUUCAGUUUGUUCAGUUCAGCCUGGACUUGGGUAGUCUGGCGGUGGGGGUUUAAUCUGAGUCGUGAGAGUUUAGGAGGUCUGACGACCUUACUUGAACAUGAUUUGUUCUUCUAUAGGCUGUACAACUAUGUCCUUGAGAUGAAGAAAAUUGUGCUUGGUGUACAAGCUUAGGAAAACUAUAUAUUAAACGAAUCAUUAGGACUCAUAUUUACUCAAGUUUCUAAAAAAAAAAAAUGAAAAUCUUGUUAUUCCAAUAUGAUAAUUUCAAAGUUCAAAUUGUUUCUUCAAAUUUCUUUAUAGGAAAAAAGUGUUUCAUAGAACUGUGUUGUUUCAGUUGACUAGCUUCAAAAUAAAGUACUUUCUCCGGGCUGUUUUAAAAUGAUUAGUUAAAUGCUAUUUUAUUGUGACUAAGUUUAAUCUAAAAAAAGGUGAUUAAGUUUAAAUUCAAUACCAUACACACACUUCUGUUACUUAAUAUUUUGAAUCAAAUACUUAUUUUAAUAUGGCAAUUUUUUCCUAACUAUAAUCUUUUUUAUUAACUUCAAAAUAAAAUAAUGUUUACUUUUACUUAUUUUUUUCUACUUAAGAAGAGUUACUUUCAUUACCUUGAAUAUGGGUAAUCUUGUAUACAUAUAUUUAAUAAGCUAACUUCAAAUUAAAUACUCCGGAGUUAACUGCUCUACUUAAAUUAUUACUAUAUUAAAUUCUUUUAAUAUAAAAGUUCAAGAUUACAAAAGUGGGGAGGGGAGGGGAGCACAAUCAAAUGGGGCAAAAGCGUUGAAUAACUGAAAAAAUGGAAAUAUUGUUAAGAUCGCCCAGUUAUGUAGCCAUAUUUUUUAAACUAUUGUUACGUAAAAAUGGAUGAAUGAAAAUAAUACAUCUUUUCUUAUUGGAUACUGAUAUUAUGAUAAUUUUCAGGGGAAACUGUAUCUAUUGCUUAUUGGGACCACAGCCCUCAGUCUGGUGAGAUGUAAUCCAUUUCUGCAUGUUUAUAUAUCUAUGUAUCUACAUGAUGGUUUCAUAUGUGUCAUCAUAUGCUGUUGUAAUGAUUAUAUUUCUUUUCUCUGCAUGGUUUUAUUAAUUUUUUUUAUUGGCUUAUUUUGAGUUAUCUGCUAUUCCGUUUGAGACUUCUUUUAGAUAACAAAUAUACUUAAGAAUUAUGAAUAAUUUAGAAAUAGUUGAAAUUGUUAGCUCAAUUUUUCAUCACAAAAACAGGAAUUAGUUGAAAGCCAUUUCUUCAAUAUGAUUUGACAGAAAGAAGGAAGGCAUUGUAUUGGAACUUGGAAGUUAGGACAUUGAUUUGUCUGAAGGAUCAAUAACAAAACAAUAAAAAUUAAAAGCCAUCCAAUAUCCGUUGAUAGAAAAAAAACGAAUGAUUAUUAAGAAAAAAAGUAAACUUGCACUCCUAUAACCUAUUACUUUUUUUUGCAUGAGAGUGUGUUUCAGCAUUAUAUUAGUGAUUAAUUUUCUCAAGAAAUAAAUUUCUGGAUGGGGCAUUUGUUAAAAUUUCGUGCAGGUGACAACUCCUUUUCUUUUCAAGCUAAUACCUGCUGUAGUACAUUUAGGCGUGCUAUUGCGGUGGUUUUCUCCAGAUAGUCUCGUUGAGGUAGAAACAUUUUACUUGAAUCUAACUUUAUACACCGCAAUUUUCCUUGACUCUAAUCCGCUUGAUCAAAAUUUAUCUUCAUGUGAUAAUUCAGAUUGGAUUGAAAGGAGACAUCAUUCGCUCGGACAGUGUAAAGCAACGGGUUAUGUUGAUAGUCCAGGGACCUCACGAUUCAUGACACUGAUUGUAUGUCAAUUGAAAAUGAAAUAUCAUUUUCUUCUCAAGGAGUCAAAUUCUGGCCAGCUUAUUCCCAUGUACAAGUGAAGUCGAUUGAACCACUCUGUAUAUUUGUUCAUGUUUUUCUAGCCAUAUAAAAGCGUGUCCAGAAUCAUUUUUUUGUUUCACUUAACUGACCACUAGAUUUGGAAAAAAGAAAAAAAAAACAGAUUAGAGAGUACUAGAGAUGGAUGACCAGAUAAGAGCCAGUACAAUAGAAGAACACUAUUGUAUUUGUCUUCUUCAGUAUGACCUGAUUCUUUGUAAAAUGUAUUAUAGUUUGGAUAUUUAUAAUGAAAUUGGUACUGCACAAAAUAAUCACUAUGCCUUUUUUUGCAGUGUAAAAUAUUGAUUUUUACCAAGUUCCCAUUUAAUCUCUCAUCUGAUUUCAGCCUUCCGUUGCUACUUCAAGACUCUUCAUCAGAUAGCUAUCAGCAAAAGGAAAAAAUAAAGUUCCAAGGCUGUAAGUUCAUCGAUUCCCUAAAAAGAAAAAAACAAUUUACUGACAGCAGUAUUAUUGAUUGAAAGAACUGCUUAGAACCUUUGGAGGAUUUAGUAACUUCAACUUGAAUAUAUUUGUCUUUUGACCACCUAACCAAAAUGAGAGGAUAGAACUAGAAGUUCCUGUGACUUUGUCAAUUAGGCAUCAGAAAUAAGUAAAAAGUAAAAUGAGAAUCUUUCAUUCAUCUAUGGUUGCUGGGGAAUAAUAUAUUUCAACAAGAGGAGAGAGAAUUUAUGAUUUCAUUUUGGGGAUUUCAACCAUUUUAACUCUUGUUUGAUCUUUUUGGGUGUCCAGAUGUUGAUAGAUAGUUACAGGGAGUAAAUGAGAGAAUCCUUUAUGGUUGAAAUGUCACUAUUUCUUAAGAUUUGCCUGCAGGAACUGACAUGUGCUUAUUUAAUUUAACAGGUUAAAAAAAAAAAAAAAACUAUUUGAGUGUUUCUUCCAUACCUAGUCUCUCCUUCAAAGUUAAUUUUUAUUCUCUUUUUUGCAAGAAAAUAUAUUAUGUCAAUUGAAAGUCUUAAACAAAAUUUUGAAUGAUUCCCAAUUAUAAUAUGUGCUUACAACCACAAGAACAUAAAAUAAAAGUAUAAAAAAAAUAAACCUGAAAAGAUUCUUUCCACAUGAAGAAGAAGAAGAAGUAGAGAAAUAGUGAUAGAUCUAACCUAAAAACAAAAAUAGCGAUGGUAGCGAUGGUCCACUUCUUGCCUGUUUUUGUUUGGGCUUCCUCCUGCAUUUUGUCCUCUACUUUUCAAAUGGGGAAGACGCCAAUUAUUUAACCUGUUUUUGUUGUCAAUUUCCUUCUUUUUAUUUCUCUUUUUCCAAAUCUACAUGUAUGUAUAUUUUGUCUGCUUUGGAAUUUUUUAUCUACUGAUAAUUUAAUUUUAAUUUUUACCUUAUGCUUUCAUUUUAUUUUACAUUUUAAAAGGGGUUCUUUUAAUUUCAGGCCAUUUACCCUUUCUUGCUGACAGCAACAAUUUAGUUACCAUCGGUUUGUUUGCACAAAUGUUCAUUCCUUUCUAAAUAUCAUUCCACUAGAGUUUCACGUGAAUGGUAGUAAUAAAUAACAAAUAAUAAGAACUUAAUGUGAUAAAAAUAGUUUUGGUAAAGGUUGAAACAAACACAUUAUUUUACGAUUUAUUUUUUAGUUUCUACAACCACAUUGUAGUGACACUCGAUUUUAGGGUCAAUUUAUUAAAGAAAGUAAAAUUAUUUUUUCUCUACGUUGUGGGGUCUAGUUUUUAUUCGUUUUUUAGGUUUUGAAAUUUACAUUUUUAUUUCUUAAAUUUUAAAUUUAGUUUUGUUCUAUAUCUUAAAAUGCUAUUUUACCUUAUAAUUAUAUGAUUGUUCUGUAUUAGUAUUAAAGGGAGAACGAGUGUUAUGCGAAAGACGUACUGAAAUUUAUGGAUAGAAUUCACACAAUAGUGUGAGAUUAUUGCAUUAAUUUGAAUUAUUUUGAGGAUGGAUAUUUUUAUCCUAAAAGAAAAGAAAGGAAAAGAGGCCAAUCAUGAGGGAGGCUUUUACUCUUGGCUUUAUGCACUUUGAAUUUUGCAUAAUUUUCUGUCCACAUUAAUUUUUCCCAUAACAAAGAGAAAUCUUGUCCACUCGAUUCUCUUCUUAUAAAGUAUCCAAUUAGUGUUCUUCCAAAUUUUGUUAAUACCAACAAAUUUGAGCCCUAAAAGCUAUAUCAUUUUAAAUUCCCAAGUUGAGAUUUAUUUAUUUAGAAAUUCUCUCUAUUUAGAGGCCACCUACAGCUUUCAUUUGUAAGGAUCAAGAUUGCUGAGCUGAAAAAUAAGUGCUUUAUCAUAUUAUAGGAUUCUUUUUUUAAAUUAAAAAAAAUACUAACAAAAUCCAAUUAGAAUUCUUUUAACUAUAAUUCAACUUGAUAUGUUCAGAUCUUUUACAUUAACCCAUCUUCAUAAUUUACCCACCAACGUUUAAAUAAUAUAGUUGUAAAUAUAUUUUUAUUUAGCUUUGGCUCACUUUGUUGACGUAUUUUAAAAAUAUUCAUUUUAUUUUUUGUAUUUUAAAAAUUAUUCUCGGUUCUUAGGUAUGGAAAAGAAAAUGAAAAUAAAUGAAACAAUAUAAAGUAUAUGAACAAAAAUGGAUCUACAUAUAUUGUUUUUUAUGAGUUGAAGAAAUGUUAAAAGUAUUUUUCUCUAACUUAUUUGAUUUGAAAGAUUUUGUUUAUAAUAUGAAUAUUUGGGUCAAAAUUAGAACCUUUUAAGAGACUAUGAACAAAAUUGGAAAAUAAUAUAAAUUCUUUUAGAAUCAAAAUGCAGUGGUACUCUUUCAAUUGUUCAGCUAGAGACUAUGACUAUAAAUGUUAUAAUUAGCCAUUAAAAGAGAGUAACCCAGCUAGCCUACAAAGCAAGACAAAACUUAUAUGUUUGUUUUUAUAGGGUAGCCCACACCUUUGACCAAAUAACUCAUUUUUAAUUAAUUGAGUUCACCAUUAAUGCAUCAGUUUUUAUGACAAAUUAAUGGGUUUCAUGGAAUAAUAAUAAUAAUCUUUCCAUUUCAAACAAAUUUGUUUAGAAAUUAUUUUAUUUUUGAUAAUCAAUAAACCCCAACUUGUUUGUGGACACAAAGGAGUUUUGAUGAUACAAUAGUAACCAACAUAAACAUUAUAUUAAAAAAGAACAUCGUUAUUCCACUUCAAAAGUACAAACUAUACUAAUAUUUAUAACAAUAAUAAUCCAUGGUGAUUCACUGAGCUACUUGUUCAAGUACUGGCUUUGGAGUGGACAAACUUAGCUGCAAAUCAGGUUGAUGAUGAUGACGAUGAUGAUGAUGAUUGGUUGUUGUUUGAAAAUUGUUGAUCGUAAUUGAGCUUGAAGAUUUGUUGAUGGGGGAUUGAAGAAACUUGAAAUAUGGCUCAUGAUGACGUUGAUUAUAAUGAUACUCAAUCCAAUUGAGAUUUGUUAAUUCUGAAAUAUUUGGAAUUGGAGUUGGAUUCCCAAAGGAAAUAUUAUUGGAUGAAGCUGGUUGGAUAUUAUAAUUAUUAUUGGUUGGUUUCAAAUUGUUGUUGAUGCUGCUGCUGCUGCUGCUGCCUUUUUCAACCACUUGCACUGUCAAUUUGUCCCUUGCUGCAGCACCCUGUUGUCAUUCAUAAUAAACCAUAAACACACAUUUUUCUUUUGUAGUAUAUAGAGUAGUGAAAGUCAUUUACAAUCCCAAUAUUCAAAACCUAAUCAUCAUUGAAUUUGACACCAACCCUACAAAAAAGAAUCAUUCUAAAACACACAACAAUGAAAGGAUUAAAUUGAAAAAAACAACUCAAUUAGCUUUUCUGUUUAUUAUUUGGUUAUUGGAGAACCUUAGAAUUUCAUUUCUGUAGUUUAUAAUUAUAAUUCAGUUUUUAGGAUUUUAUCAAACCAUAUUUACUUAAAUUCUAAUUAAUAUUGAAUUGUAUUUUACUUUAGUGAGUUUUAGUUUAGUAUUAUAUAUUAUAUAGAUACGAACUGGUAUUUAUAUUAAACAAUUAGUUGUUAAACUUCACCUUCCUUCUCGUAUAUAUUUAUUAUCAUUGAGUAUUAUAUGUGUUUAAUUAAUGACUAGUCAAUAAAAAAGGAAAGUCUUAUACGUAUGCAAAUGGGUUAUUUAAAAGUAAUAGAAUAGUGUGUAUUAUUAUUUAUAUUGGAAGAGGAAUAUAAAACAUUAGUGACGAACUAAUUAAAUUUAAGUAUAUAUUGACAAUAUUGGCUUUUGUCUUUUAUUUAUAUGAAUAUUCACUUACUUAGAAAAUUGGGUUAUCAUUCAAAAUUCAAUCUUUGGCAAUUGGCACAGAGAAAAAACAGAAAUAAAAUAUGUGAAAAAUUAGAGAGUUUUGAGAGGGGGAAGUUUACGUCGAAAAGGCUGGGACGACGCUGUUUUCUUUUGUUGAGAGUUGUGAGUCGUAGAAAGUAUUUUUGUGCAUGACUAGCUACUUGAGUCGGAGUUCUUGUCGUCACAAAUUUCCUCGAAAUUCCUCUCCAAUCUCCUUUUCCAAGCUUUUCUAACCCAAUUAGAAACACCUUAUGCUCCUCUUCACUCCAUGGUACACCUAUUCAAAUACCAAAAACAUCCCGAGCUAGUAAGUUGGUGAAACGAUAAAACUAAUUAUAUAAUCAGCUAGAACGGAGAAAAGAUGAAAUGAUAUUCCUAGCUAGAAUUCAAGCAUGCAAUUUAAUGCUUUAAUACCAUAAUUAACCUAAAAAAAUAAGAAAUAAGAAUAGCCAUAUGACCAAAACGAAAAGGAAAAAGAAUAAUUAAAAGAAGAAAAACCAUGUUUUUGUUUUGAAUCUUUUGAAUUCAUGAUGAAUGAUUCAGUACAGUGCAAGAAAAAUUACCUUUUUUUCUUUCAUGGGUUUUGGCGACGAGGCCGUCUGAGAGAUAUCCAUUUGACAAUUUCUCAGAAGAAGAAGAGGACGAUAAAGAUGAAGAAGCCGAAGAAGAAGAAGAAGGCAAAGAAUCCAAACUAAUACUCUUCUUCAACAAGGUGGUAUGAUGAUGAUGAUGAUGAGUUGUUGUUCCAUUAUCAAUGAGUUGAACUCCAAAUAACUUAAACUUGGUUUCUUUAUGCUUUUGAAUGGUGCAAGUUCUUGAAUUGUGACCCACAUUCCCACAGUGUGAGCAUUUCCUCACCAUCUCUCUCUCUAUCUCUCUCUCUCUCUCUCAAAUGGAAUCUCAAACUAACACCAAAUUCUUUCAAAAGUAUAAUAUAAAGGGUUUAAAAAGGAAGGGGUAGCUGUGUUGUUGUUUUGAUUAAAUUAAAUUAAAUCAAAUCAAAUCAAUAGGGUUUGUGUUAAUUAUUAAUUAGUGAAGAAAGAGAUAUGAUCCUCUCCUCCUCCUAGGUUCUUUCUUUAAUGAUUAUUGACGUAAAUAGCAAGUCAAGAGGUGUGUGUGUUUGUGUCUCAUUGGAUCAUAUUCUUUUUCUUAUAUGAUAAUAAUAAUGAUAUGAUAAAACUUAUCCUAAAAAUGGCAUCUUUUUUAAAACUCCCACAUGACCAACGUGACCUUAUAUUUGUCCCAUUCUUUCUCAUAUCUCUCUAUUUUAUUUUAUUCUUUCUAUCCAUUUUCACCUUUUCUUUCUUUCUUUCUUUCUUUUUACUCUCAUUUCUACUUAUUCUAAGUAAGUUAGAUUACAUAUUUGCACACGAAUAGUUUGAAAAUUUUAAGGGUUUUUCUUUAAUCCUAAUAAUACUUCAUUUGAAUUUUUAAAGAAUUUUUUAUACCUAACAAUAGUUUUUGAAAUAUUUAUAAAAAAUUAACAGUAAUAAUACUAAAACUUUUAGAAAUUUAUCAAAAAAUAUAUAUAGUAAAUUUGACAUUCUAUCCAUGUAAAUAUAAGUAAAUAUUUUAAUUUAUUUUACUACUUUAAAAAAUGCUCGAAAAAUUGUAGUAGAAAAUAUUUACAAAAUUUAAAAUUUUAUCAAUUAUGGAUGUAUAUUAUUUGAAGGUGUCUUUUUUUAUUUUUUAAGUAUGAAACAUAAUUUUUUAAAAAAGCUUAAGAAGAUAUGUUUAAUUUUUUUUCUUUAAAUUACUAUUAUUUGUUAUUGAAAUUGGGGUGACCACAAAAUUCCCACCAUACAUUAUUGUGAUGGGAAAAAGGGAGUGAUGUUGAUACCAACCAACAAAACCCUAUUUUUAGUUGGAGAUUUGCCCAAAAAAAAAAAAAGAAGAAAUUUGAAAUAAUUUCUUGAAGAUUGCUCCAUAUAAAAAAAGAUGGGAUAAAAAAGAGAAUGAUUACAAGCAAGUUGGCAGAACAACUACUGAAAUAUCAACAUUCAACACAUUGUGACCAUACAUUUUUGUGGAAGCUAUUUCCAUUGAUUAUAAACUUCCAAAUCAAACAUUUCCAUACAUUCCCUACACACACACACAAAAAUACCAACUGUUUCUUUUAGAUUUUCAACUUUGUUAACUAUCACGUUAAUGUGAUAUAUAUGUAUUCAAUUUUCUUAACAUAUUAGUUAACUUGUCAAGUUGGCAAAAACCUUAAUUUCAAUAGUAUUUUUGGAAAGCAUUUUAACCUAUAGUUUUUAAGACGAAGGACAAAAAUGAAUUCCAUAUGAGUCUAAAGUUCAUUAAUUCUUUUGUAUAUGAUAAGAAAGGUAAGGCAUUGGCCAUCAAAUCUCACCAUUUAGAAAUCCCAUGUUGUCUCCAACAUGGUGGACCAAAUUUCCAUACCCACAAUAUCAUUAUCCCCUCUCUCUCUAUAUAUAUAUAUAAACUAUAUUAUUACUAUUUCUAUAUACUUUGCAUAAAUAAUAAUAAUAAUGCUUUGUGUUUGUCUAACAUGAGACAACUAAUUAACAACUUAUUAUAAUCUCAUUCUCUUUAAACAUAAAACCCUAAUUCACAUUAACCCAACUUGUCCCUGUACUAUUGUUCUAAUAAUAGCAUUUUUCACAUUGCUAUAUAUUUAAUCAUCCAAAAAGUAUUAUUUAAUUGAUUAUAAUUAAUUAGGUGACAAUUUUGUUAGAAUAUAUAUAAGUGAAUUAGCGAAUUAAAUUUAUGAAGAGAUUAUAUAUAUAUUUUUUUUAACCUUUUCAAAUGGUAAAAAGAAUUACUAACACAAUUUAUUAUUUACUUGAGUAUUAAGCAUCAUAUUUUAGGGAGGUGAAAAUGUUUUCUCUACCCAACAUUUACUAAUUAACUCUUUUGUUUUUACUGACCCUUUUCAAACUUUACACCAAAAAUAUCGUAAAGUAGUUUUAAUUUAAGCAUAUAUAUAUAUAGGGUGUGAAAAUGAUAAUGAUGCAUCUUUUUCUUUUAUAAAGUAGUUUGACUUAAUCACCUCUCCCCAUUUCAAUAUUCUUUUCGAUAAUUAAUCAAUGGACUUUCCCUUACCUGCACUCAUCUCGUUUUAAUAUUAAAAACUAAAAUAUCACAUAUACAAACUGCACCAAUCGAUGAUAAGUACUAAUAUCUGUCCAAGAAAUAUGUUUUUUUCUAAGUAAUUAAGAAACCAUCAUGUAUAACCACACUAAUUAAUUAAUUUACUUAAUCUCCUGUUUCUUUGGCCUAAUUAUUAAAAUCCUAGUUGCAAUCUGAAAAGGUGUAGUAUAAAUUAAUUAUACACAUCACACUUUGAAUGUAACCUUUUCUUGUUCCCUUCAUUUCUCUUUAAUAUUUAAGGCCAAGUUGAGUGGAUAUCUUAUUAAUUUAUCAAAAUUAAACUCUAAUAUAUAUUGGUGAAUUUGACUGCUACUUUGGUUUCUACUUUGAUAUAAAAUUAGCAUAUGACAUAAAAAUAAUUAACUAAGUUGUUUUUUAUUCACUGUCGUCUAGUGAGUGAAGGAAGAUAGUUAAAGUAACACAUAAUGUAAGUUAUUAUAUGUUACAAAAUUAAAGCAUUAUCAUUUAAAAUAAUGGGAAUUAAAUUAUAAAUUUAAUAAAUCUUUCCAAACCAUAUAUUAUACUUUUAAUUGAAUUUUACAUUUAAUUGGAUUUUAAACUUUCAAUUUGACUAACCCAUUUAAAUUUUUAGGACUAAAUUUGUAAAUCUAAUAUGAAAUUAAUAUGAUUCAAGCCUAUUAAUUUAAAACAUUGUUGAGUUUCUAUGUAUGAAAUUAUGGUGAAUCUUCUCGAAGAUAGUGACUAAAUAAAAUUAAUUAUCACAUUUGCUAUAGUGACGACUAAAUAAAUAAAGUAACAAUAUCUUAAUUAAGGAAUAACGACAAAAUUAAACUUAUUACAAAUAAUUAAUAUUUAAAACGAAGCAAUAUAGAGAGAGAAGAAUCAAUUAUGGAAAUAAUAAUUAAUGGAAGUUUAAGAUAAUGUUUUAAAUUAACAAAAAAGUAUAUGGACCAAUUUGGUUCUCCAAAGUUCAAAACCCUCUAUUAAUUAAAUUAUAGACAAUUAAUUAAGAAAAUUCAACUUGAAUCUAUAUAAAAGCUUAAUUAAUUUAGAGAUAAUGACCAAAAGCUUAGGGGUUGUGUGGAGAUCAUUUGCUUUAAAAAACCCUACUUAAUUUUUUUUAAUACAAAAUAAUUAUGAGUGAUGGGACCAACUCAACAUCCAAACCAAAAUUUCUAAGGUAAUUAAUUUACAUUGUGGAUAUUAAUUAAUCAUGCCAUUUUUUAUUUCCAAAAUUAGACUUUAUUAUAAGAAAAGUUAAGUCUAACUUAAUUAAUUGAUUACAAAUUAUGAAAUUGACUAUUACACGAUAGGUUGAAGUGAUCAUAACAUAAUACUAAUGCAUAUCAAAUUAAUCUAAUUAGUGCAUCUAUGAUUCUUAAUUAUAAGAAAACAAUAGUGUUUAUAAUUAAUAAUGGAAAUAAAAUUAGACUAAUUCAUUGAAUAUGGUCUAAAUAAUCAGGUAAUUAAUUAAGGCAAUGAAUAUAAUCAAGGGAUGUUCUCUCUAUCUCCAAUAAUCAUGCAUGAUAUAGGAAAUUAAAGUUGAUUAAUUAAGAUGGUUGAAUAUUCCCUAAUGUUGACAUUCUUCUUUCUUUUUUAUUAAUUUUGCUGUAUUGAUUAAUAGUUAUUUUUUAGUCCUGACAUUAAGCUUAAUUAAUUUUACGUAUAGUUUAAGGAUGAUUAAAUUACAUGUGUGAUGUCACUUGAAAAUGUGUUGAUUAUUUAAAUUAUAAGCAACCAUAUUAUUGCAUAUGAAAUGAAAUUAAACACUAAUUAAUUUGCUCUUGCUCUCAUGAUUAAUAUAAUUAAAUUAGCCUCUUUAGGUUACGUGAUGCAUCUGCCCUCUAACUUAUCUUCAAUUGGUUUAUUAGAGUGAUAUAUAUGUAAGAAAAGGAAAUUAAAUUAAAUUAAGAAGAUAAUUUUUCUUAAUUACAAGCUAUCAAAUUGUUAGCUUAAUUAAUUAUGAAGAUUAAUAAGGCAUACUUUAUUUAAAAGAAAACUAUGAUAUACUAUAAAUAAAAGUGUAUAUGUCAUCAUGUAAAAUGAUAUUCUGAAGUUUGAAGAACACACAGACUAUUAAAUUAGUAUUAUAUUGUGAAGACAUGUAGAGAAUUUGGUUACAAAGUUUUGUAUUAGUCAUACAAAUUUUAAUUAAUAUAGGUCUAAUUCAAUCCUUAUUAUUAAUUAAGAUUUAAGUCAAUAAUCCAACAAAAAAGAUUACAUGAUAUUUUCUUUCUCUUGUUAAUUAAUAUUAUUCACACCUAAGCAAUAAUAACAUAUAUUCACAUUAUUUAUAUUUGAAAAAUAUUAAUUAAUUAUACCAAUUUAAAUCUUAUGUUAUAGAGUGAAUCAAUUUAACCUAUUUAAUUUCUAAUUGAAAGGUCUAAAUUGGAUUAAUAUUUUUAAAUUUCAGUGUUCAAAUCAAUAUUCUUACUAACUGUGAGGGGUAAAUAAAUAAUGUACUUAUUCAAAAUUAAGAGAUAUUUAAUUAUGUUCGUUUUACAAUUUAUCAAACGUUGAUCAGAACAAACUUCAUAUAUAAUCUAAAUUAGAGUGAUAUAUUUCAACCGACACGAAUCUCUCACCUAACUCCAAUAAUAAAAAAUAUAACUUGUGAAGUCAUUAAAUUACAUAAUUAAGAAAAACCAAUAGUUAAGAGGAGAAUAUUCAAGAAUCUAAAGACAACUAUACUAUACCAUAAGACUAAGCAAUUUUGGAAUCAUGUCUACAUCUUUUAUCUAACCAAAUAAAACAAACAAAUAAAGUAAAAGCCAUUGACAAACAAAAUUCCUCUAAUAAGCAAACUUUGGUUAUGAUUGAAAAUUAAACUAAGCCAAACUUUGCACCCUAAGUCAAAAAGGGACCCUCCUAAUUAUCUUAAUCACGACUAUUUAUUUACAUCAAUGAGUUUAAUUAUGAUUUAAUGUGUUUUUUAUUAAAAUUUUAUCUCAAUUAAUUUAAAAUUAUUUUUAAAUAUAGUAAAAUAAAUUAAAAUAUUUAUAAAAAUAUCAUAUUUGAUAGGACAUAAUAUAACUAUUUAUUAUUUCUAUUGUCGUAUAAAUUCAAAUGGAAAUAAACUAUGAUUUUAAUUAUUUUUUCCAUCAAUACCUGUUUUUUUUAAGAUGAACAAUAGAACAUUAAUCAUUUAAAUAAUUCUUAUGAAAGAUUAAAAUAUUGGUUUGAAAAAUAAGUCAAUAAUUAUUUUAGCAUUAUUCCCAAUAAGAAAUGCUAUUAAUCUAAUAACCAUUUGAAAUUCUAAGGUUGUGGUUGUGAAGUUUCCUUCUGUACUAAUAUAUAUGAAAUGAAUGCAUAUGUAUAUAUUUAACUUUUAUAUUUUGAAGGAAUCAUAGGUUAUAUGUAUAUAUUUAUAUUUGAAUAAACAUGUCAUUAAAAUACACAAAUUAACAUUUAGAGGUCCAAUUAUGAUUUAAUUUGAUCAUUCCUUUUGUAAUUUUUUAACUUAAUAGAAAAAUGGACAAAUGCCAAACUGAGUAUAUAGAUUACUAUUUAAGCACAUGGUCUCUUUAUUGUCUAUUUGUAUUUUGUCCAAUUAAUUGUUAGUUCUUACACAUCUCCUAGCAAUAAUUUUGAUGUCACAUAUAUCAUAUUAAAGUAUAUUAUAAUAAAGUGUAUCAAAUUAAAUUUAGUUUAUAGUUUUUUUUUUUCUUUGUUAUAGUUCAAAUUUGAUCCCUAUAAUUUUCAAAGUUUCAAUUUAGCCCUUGUUAAUGAUUGAAACUCUCUCCUUUACUUGAUGUCAUCUUCUAAUAUACAUAUAACCAACAUAUUAACAUAUCUUAGAUGUAUUUAAGAUGCAGUAAUGUCUUGUAAUAUAACAAUAGAGAUAAUUAGUAAAAUGCAACCCAACUGUGGUGAUGAAAAUGACCAUUAGAAAACCAGUACACUAAAUUGAAACUAUAACUAAAUUAAUUAGAUGUAUGGAGUGAUAAACAUUCAUAAUUUCAUACCUCCCCACAAUCAUAUCAAUGUAGUUAUUAUAACGUAUAUCAAAGUUGUUAAGUUCGUCGAAACUGCUACUCUCUUUAAUAGCAGCAGGUCAAGACUUCUUUCUGAUAUUUGAGAUUUUGAUCAUCACAACACAUUCUAUUAGAUUAUAUUUCUCUUUUUUGUCCACAAAAUUGUAAUUUAAUUGCUCACAUUUUGGAAUGUAAUGCACCAUAAACUGACGUCCUUUUCGUAUAGCUUAAAGAUCAUUCUCCACAUGUUAAUGUUGCUCUGUCAAAAUGAUAUUCAUCUCUUUGCUUUUCUUAUAUAUUGAACGAAAAUGGACAUUCAAACUCUCACGUUUUGGGCCGGGAUGUUAGGCCCCGGGCCGGUUUCGGGAGUUAUAAAUGGGCCGCCUUUAACUAGUUGGGCUUGGGCCGUAACAUGAAAAAGCAGUAUUGGGCAAAUCCUGUAAUUCAUACAGAAAGCAGGGGUGAAUUUGCAAACUUGGUCAAAAUUUAUUGAUAUCAAUAAUUAAUAUUUACAUAUCAUAGCUUAAAUGAUUUUACUUUAUGGCAUGUAAAGUCUAUCCACUACCAAAAAGAAAUUGCCUUUUUUAACUAUAUUUUCUAUUGUUCUUUAUGUUUAAAUUUUAUAUUUUACUUUUUUUGUCAACUUGAUCUUUUAAAAUAUUACAUUAUGUCAAAUGUAUUAGAAAUUUGUUGAUAAUUUAAAAACAAAUUGAAAGACCAAUGACCAAUUUUUAGGACACAAACAAACUAAAUAUAGUUAUUAAUAGCACCAAAUAAAGGUAUUGAGAUUUUAUGAUAUGAAGUUUAUUAAUAAAAAUUUACUCUCUAAUACAAUUUAUUUAUUUUGUGUCUAAUAGAUUCUAGAAAUUUAAAAAACACUCUCUUAAACUAAAAAUCAUAGCAAAACGAAAAAAGAAAUUGAGAAUAAUGUUUUUAUUUGUUGAGUUCUUUCAAAGAAAAGAAAAAAGAAAUUGAGAAUAAGAUUUAAUAUUUAGAAUAUUAUAAAAGUUGGGACAAAACGAAGACAAGAGUCAUUUAAAACAUACCAUAGUACUAUGCACUAAAAAAUGCUAAUUAUUAGUGACAAAGAAGACCUUUCACAUCUAUGCUUUCACUUUAUUGCUAAAGGGACCUUAUAAAAGCUUCUUUAAAAAAAAAUAUUAAAGGGUAUAUUUUUACAUUCGUACAACUUAUCCUUUGAAGAUAUAAUAAGACUAAAAAUAAUUUUAUUUAGUAGGUUAAAAUUUGUUAUCGAAAGUUUAAGAGUAUAGUUGUAACUUUUACUAUACUUUGAAAAUAGUUUUAAUUUUUGUAGUUAUUGAGUUUUUACAAUAUCAUUCAUGAUGUCAUAGCAAUAUUUAAAAUAUAGAAUUCAAAGUGUGACAUACUAUUUUUUAAAUUCUAACUUGCUAGUGAACUUAGAAUAGAACGGAUAAAACAAAUUAAUGUACUAAUGGUUAGUUUUCAAACGUGUUUGGUUUGGUCGGUAACGUGUAUGUUAGGAAGAUUUGAAACAUAUACUAUUUAGUAGAUACUAGUAUCACAUGUCAAUUGAGUUAUAAGCUGAAGGUAGAUACUAGGAUGUUAUUUUUUACCCUAAGAAAUUUAUUAUAUAGUUCAAAAGCAGGAUCAUAUUUUGACUGAGGAAUAAUUUUGGAGAUAAUGAAAAGCCCAAGAAGAAACCCCAUGUUGGUUGGUUUGAACUUUUGAUUGGUCUCUGUGUCUUUUCAAAACUGAGCACACUGCUCUGAGUCAUGGAGAGGUCCGGACAUUGGCGACCCACCAUGGAACCUCUCUCUGAAUCCCAAUGUGAACCUCUCUUUUAUCUUUCUCACCUUCUCCAUUUUCUUUCAAUUUUCUCCCUUUAAUAAUGGGGGUCGAAAGAGAUUGUGAAAAAAGGCACACAACCCCAAAACCCCUUGAAACCCCUCUUUUUGUUUGUCAAAAUUGUUUGCUUCUUCAAAUUGAAAUUCCAGUUUCUGGGUUCUGAAAUACACAAAAAGCAAAACCCAAGUUGAGAAGAAAAAGGUAGUAAUCAGUAUUCUCUUUUAGUAGUAGUACAGUAUGUGAAACCAAAAAAUGGGUCAGGAAAAAGAGCUAAGCUAAGAGACAUUGAAUUUGAAAUAUUUUGUCUUGCAGUGUGGAUUGCCAGCAUUUCUCUGUUUGGGUUUGCAGGCAAACCAAGCAAGGAACAGACCCCACAACCUCAGUUUUUCACACUCAACCAUGUGGUAAUGGUAAGAAAAAACAUAUAUUUACUAUCAAUUUUAGUUUCCUGAGUUUUUUUCUUUUCUUAUUUUUGUCAUUGUGCUGUCAAAGAAUUUGUUCUUGGAAAAUCAAUCUCGAGGUUUGAGUUUCUUUAUUAUCCAACGUGGAAGCUGAAUGAUAAUUACACUUGAUUUUAAUAAAUGUACUGUCUUUUCUGUGAAAAAUAUUUUUUCUCUUUAAACUUUCAAGAACCGUACACUCUUUGAAGCAUAUUUUGUCUAUUAAACUCUUCAUUAAGAAAGAACCUUCUCUUUCCGUUCUUACUUGAGUAAUUAUUAAAGCCCACUUUAUGAGAGAAAGAGGUCUUGGUUGGAACUUCUUGAACCUGAAACGUUAGUUGACCUUGACAGGACAGAAAUUGGAUUAGUACUUUCAGAGAGACAAUUGAGAUGGUUAGAAAUUAAACCCCUUUAAUGGUUUCACUUACCAAGCCUGCAGUGCAGAGAAAAAGGCAAAAGCCAGAAGCAUUCUCUCUAGUAACAGCUACAUGGAAGUGUUGCACCAACAUUGAGGUUGUAGGUCCACAUUAUUUCCUCUAGUUAUUUCUGGUCAUUAUCCAGAUCCCAUUAUCGCUACUUGGUCAGAGCUCUAAAGAAAAAUCAGAGAAAAGAUUUAGAAAAUGGAGGGAAAAGUUUGGGUUGUAUCACAUCAGAUCCAACGGCAGAGCUCUAGAUUUAAGAUAGAAUGGUAAUGGAAAAUGGAAUCCUGAUCCGAGAAAUGAAGGCUAUCUAUUUGCAUUGUUUCAUCAUUCUGGUGUUACUCAAUGAAUAACCAUAAUGGUCCGAAUACGAAUAUUAAGGAAGGUUAGUCUAAUAAUUGAAGAAAUGCAUACACCCAAAACUAGCUGAUGGGUGCUGUUUUCAUUGCGAGACAUUAAAUUUGUCAAAGAUAUCCCACAAGAUCUUCUCGUCAGUUUUGGUUUGCUUGCAUCAUCAUUUUCAGGCUCUUUUCUCUCGCCUUUCUCUGAGACUAUAUCUGUUCAAAAGUACACUGCUGAAACAGUAGUCUCUCUUUUUUCACAUUUGAUUGCCUUAAGUUCUUAGUUGUUUGAUUCUGAAGAGAAAGUGUGAUACUUUGUUACUGUAUUACUCUUGCUUCUCAUCACUUUGGCUUUCUUGUUCAGAAUAGCUUAAAAAGAAAGGGACUGUCUGAAAAAUGGUGCUGAGAAGACCUGGCAGGAACAGGAAUUUCAACAGAGAGAAUCCAGAUAUUUUGAUUAUGAUGAUUGCAGUGGAUCAGAUAAUAAGAGGUUGUGAGCAGGACAAAGGAGAUGGCACAGAGAGGAAGGGGAUGGGCCCUUUAAAGCCUGCAACAAAGAGUGAGUGGUUUCUGCAUCCCAAGAGCUAUGGUCUCUCCUCUUUCUUGCUCUCCACCCCCUGGUUUUCUCUUGUGCGGCUGAUACUUCCUUCUAUCUUUAUUUAGUGGGUCCAUUUCCUCCAUCUCCACCUUCAUGCAGAGUCCUCUUUUUUGCCUCUUCACUCUCUCUCUCUUCCUUUUAAUGGUUCUCUGAGAUGGGUGUCAUUCAUUUUCCAGAGCUGUACGUAUUUUAGCUUUAAAGUUUGAGAACAGAGAUUGAGAUUAUACAUCUCCCUGCCGUUCAAUCCUCCAAACUUAAGCUUCUCGGGGUUUGAGCGCUUGAAGCUAUUCCAUUCUCCUUUUUUCAUGCAAAAUUUUGUAUCACUUUUCUUUUACCAUCGGCUUUAUGUUGUUGUGAUUUGGCAGAAGCCGGAAAAGUGGGAAUACAGCACCAGUCAUUAUUACUUCUUUUCCCCUUGUUUUUUUCUAUAAAAGCAAAGCUUCUCUUCCACUUUAUCUGAACUUUCACAAUGGCACCCUUUUCUGGAGAAACAAAAGAAACCAAGUUCUUUGAAUCUUCUCCUUUUUCUUUUUUAAGUUGUCUUUGAUCACCUGUGAGUGAAGAACCAUAAAGCAGUGAACAUUAUAGCAAUUUUUUUUCGUUUUAUAACUUGCAGGUUUAAAGCUCUUCACUAAGCCAUCACAUCCAUUUAAUUUGCUUAGAAAUUCAGGACACGGUCAUUUUUUUUUCAGGGGAUUUGGUGUGGGGCUUUCGCUCUAAGUUUCUCAUCCUAUAUAGGAUGACAGAGAUUCAUCAAAUGGAAGGUUGGUUUCUUUGUCAUUUUAUGCUAAUGGCUCAAUGUUUAUGUUCUGGCUGGUGGUUUACAGAGUGAGUUUUGAUGUGGACCUUUAUUUCUUCUGUCUUGUAUGAUGUUAUGUUUGUUCCCUCCUUUGUAUCGUGUGUCAAAAUAAAUUGAACAUCUUCAACGAAUGGCUUGUCAAUAUUAAUUUUUUGCUGGUCCCUAAACGUAACAUGCUUUUCACUCUUGUGGCAAUAGGUUCUGGAUAUGUUACAACUACUAAUUUCCCUUUCCAACUCUGAAUAAUAAUAAUAUAGCAUAGCCUGUCUCUAGAGGAAUGUGAAUUUGGAUGUCUGGAUUGAGCUGCAAGUUCAUUUCUUUUUCCAUUCAACUGAGAAGUUCAUUUUUUGUUUGAUAAUGCUAUAUUGACUUAUAAAUGCUAUUGAAAUCGCAGCUAAAAAGUGAAUGUGGUUUGAAUCGAGUAUGUUAAUCUCAGCUGUUGCUUUGGAUAAAGAAUGGUAGUUUUCCGUCUAGACUGCGUAUGGGUGGGCGAAUGAUUUGAUGAAUGCUCUGGUGGAUAUGGUAAACCCAAAUUCUGUUGUUGUAUGUGAAAUUCUGCCUCUUGGCUUUUAGAACUCAGUUGAUACGUCCAAUUAAUGAACUAAGCAAUAUUACAGCUGGAUUUCCUAUCUUUUUAAGUCUGCGGGAGUCUGGAUGCUCUGCUCUUACUAGUGCUGAUAAUCAUAUAGUUGAACAAUUGACAUUUUGAGGUUUUCCAAUGUCUACUGCCCUGCAACGAAUCGAUAUGGGAGAUGCUUGUCUGGGUCCCUCUGGUAAUGCUGAGUUUCAAAAUCAAUUGGCAGUAGCCAUUCCUAUUUCUCUGUUUCAAUCUACCUCUCUUGCUCCAGUGAAUGAUAUUCGUGGAAAUACAAAAGAUUCAGCAUUUCCAGACCCACAGUUCCAGCAAUUAGAAACCUUUAGAACGUGCUUCUUACACAGUUACUCUAAUGCUUCAAAUUCUUCAUUUGCAAGUUCUCUGAUCUGUGAAGGUGAUGAGUCUCUAUGUAAUGCAAAUAAUAAGUGGGAAAGCGAUAGGUUUCAUUGUAUUCAGCAACUUUCUGGGGAGAAUCCGGAAACAUCUGAUUCCCAGACCGUCUUGUCCAUGGAACACCUGCACCAGAAUGGCUGGAUGUCAUCUAACACUAUGAACUCUAAGUUAUGGAAUGAGCUUUCUCUAAGCCUUGCUACAACCGAACCCGUCCUCAGUGGAGGAACUGAUUUCCUGGACCAGUAUUCUCAGUUGACUUUUUCUGGUGCUACUCAACCUUGCUUGAACAGCACAGAAUUAGCCUCGAACUUAAAUUCAGGCAGCUCUAGGGACCUCUCUCUAAGUUAUGGAUGUGGUAAUUCUGUUCGCCUUUCUCGAGCAAUAGCAGGAUCUAGAUAUCUUUCGGUCAUUCAAGAUGUACUUUCUCAAAUUGCAAGCUAUCCACUGGAAAACUCAGAUCAAGUUGAUCAUUCAACUACUGCAACUGGGUUUGUGCCGUUGUCAUCAUCAAGUUCCCUGGAUGAUGCAACGAUUGAAUAUGGUUCUGAUGUUACUGGUAGAUACAGUUCUCAAAUGGAGCCGGAAUGGCAAAAUCUAUCUGUUGAUGCCAAGAAGUCCCAUCUGUUGACUCUACUACAAUUGGUUGGUUAAUUUAAUAUAGCGUUUCUCUGAUUUUUAUCUUUUUACCCUUCUUAUACUGAAAAACUUGAUAGUGUUUCAGAUUGAUGAGAGGUACACUCAAUGCUUGGAUGAGAUUCAUACCGUUACUUCUGCGUUUCAUGCUGCUACUGAUUUGGACCCUCGCUUGCAUACUCGAUAUACACUCCAGACGAUCACUUCGGUGUAUAAAAACUUGAGGGAGAAGAUUACCAGUUGUAUUUUUGCUAUUGGGAAGCAUUCUAACGCAACGUGCACCAAGGAGAAGGAAAAAUUCUUUGAGGCAACAUUCUUACAGAAGCAGUGGGCUCUCCAGCAGUUGAAAAGGAAAGAUAAUCAAUUAUGGAGGCCACAGAGAGGCUUGCCUGAAAAAUCUGUCUCCGUUCUUAGGGCAUGGAUGUUUCAAAAUUUUCUCCAUCCGUAAGAUUUUGUGACAAAUCUGGUUUACUUUUUGAAGAUACGUAUAGUAAGUUGAAGGAAUGUUUGUUCUUUGGUGAUUUUUCAGGUACCCCAAGGACACAGAGAAGCAUUUACUUGCAGUAAAAAGUGGAUUAACUAGAAAUCAGGUUCUUGCUGCUUCAAGAUUUCCUUCAACUUUCAUGAGUUCUCCUCACUUUUACUGAGUUCUGCUAUUCUGGACUUUGGACAGGUGUCUAAUUGGUUCAUCAAUGCUCGUGUCCGAUUGUGGAAACCGAUGAUCGAGGAAAUGUAUGCUGAAAUGAGCAGAAGAAAAUCCAAUCAAAAUGAGGAGGGAAUCGAAAGAAUUCAUUGUCCCAGAUAAGCAUUAGCAGUGAGAAGAUGUGGCUCGAACUGUGAAAAUGAUAGACAGUAUUGAGCACUGUAUGGAACUUGAAUUGAUUAGAAAAGUGUACUAGACUGAAUUAAAUUCAACUAUAUAUUCUUUUUGACAAUUUAACCUGAGAAAUUUCUUUAGCUUCGCAUUCCUGGCUACAUCAUAAUAGACAAUAAAAUGCAAUUAGUCAGCAGAGAAACAUCACCACAAACUUCAUUCUGAAAAGAAGGAAAAAGAAAACACGAUCAAUAAGCGAAGUUCAAUCUAAAAACAUUAUUUAUUAAUUGAAAAUAAAUAAUUCUGAGAUUUACAGAGAAUGGUGCCCUCCUCCUCAACUAACUCUUUUGAUUACAAAUGAAAGAAUGACAAUUUCUGAUUUCUGCCUAGAAGUUUUCACUAUCAAAUAUUCUGUUUCCUUCUUUAUCUACACCCCACACCCACACCUCUCAUUCACGAACUGAUGGAUUGCCAAAGAAAAAACAAAAAAAACUGUCCCAACUCCUCACAGUACAUAUAAAUACAAAAAGUGAUUAAUAUUUUUUGUUGCGCCUCCUUUCAUCGUCUUGUUGUUCUAGACUUGCAAGGAGAUUCUUGUUUUUAUCGGUUUCAACUUCAAUCCCAUACUUUCUGGUGACAGAAGCUCGGGAGCUAUGCAAGAAGGGCUCAAGGGGCUUCUUGGGCUGACGCUAAAAUGAGAUGGCCUAUACAUGCCAUAUCCCAUGAGAAAAUACUCCAUAGGUAUCAACAUUGCAUCAGGCUGCUCCUCUGUCACCAUUGACCCACAUGACUGAACCUAAGAUGUGAGAAUAGCCCCUUUUAAUUCAUAGUAGUAUAAAGCUCGGUUUAUGAUUUUCAUGUAUAUUUAAUCUCCAAAAAGGAAAAAAGAAAGUUCAACAUACUUCCACUAGGGCACUGUAUCUUCUGUCUAGUUUGACAGUCAUGUGGUGAGCCUCUGAAUGGAACGGGGACCUGUCCCCAACAAAUAUCAAUGAACGGCACUUUAGUUUCCGUAACCCUUCUGAAAUGUCGGGUCUCCUGCAUGAAAGAAAAAAAAAGUUUAGGAGGGCCUUCGACCCCAUAUGUGUAUCAUCUAACUAAUGUAAUUUCACAUCAGAGGUAUAGAGGAAAAGGACCCCAACAAUUGUCAAGCACAAAUUCAAAGAUUGGAGUUAGAUGCUUACCCAUUCAUUGCUUCAAGAAACCUCCAGACGUUUGAACUUUGCCUCUCGUCAAGUGACUGUAGAAAGAACAUGAUCAUAAUGUUUGAUCAAACAAAUGCUCAACUCUUAAAAUCUGUCAAGUUUUCCAACUCUGGAAUAACUGACAGUUUAAAGUUGCUAAAAGAAAACGAUGAAAAUGCUGCAGUACUCACUCUUCUGCAUGCUUGAACUAAAUCUGACUCUGGUACUUGAGAACAACCACGAGCAUCCUACAACCAGCACAGUACAAAUGUCUAAUCAAACUCAGUUGGGAUGAAUAACUCUAGUAAGAGAGUUUGAGUUUGUGCAAGUAAACCUGCAGUUGGUCUGUGUUUAAGUUGAGAAGAAAAAAGAGUUUAAAAGUUCACACGUUCAAGUGCAAUUUUCAUAUCAUCAAAUUGGUUUUGAAGGAAUAAAAACCGAUUUCAUGGUGAUUUUGAAAACAAAGCAAUUUUCAUUUUUAGACCUACCUUACUGAAAUACCGCUUCAGCAACAACUCCUUCACUACCCCACACAUGCCAUAGAAAUAAAGCAAAUUUGACAUCACCUGCAUAUGGAAAAUCUGUUAAUAAGAUGAUUCCAAUAAACCAGAAGACGAUCAUAAUAGUUCUUUCGUUCAGAAAGACGACCUUAUUAUACAACCAUUCUGUCCAACAGGGCGCUGUGCAUAUGGGAGAAAUCAAUAUCAAACCAUGAACACGAUGUCUGUGCUUCAUCUGCAACCAACAAGUGCAAUCAAUAUAUGACAAAAGUUUACAAGAGGAACUGAAAGAAAAAACCAUGGGGGGGAAGGAUAAAGUAAUCAAGUGGAUGGUGAACAAAGAGAAAAAUUACAGCAAAGAGAGUGAGGAUGUAUGCUCCAGCAGUAACACCCAUACACAUCACAGCACUAAGUCUGGGAGAAAGAUAAAGAAGAAGAGUAAGUCAUCAGAUCCGUGCAUAUUCAUUUCGGAUAGAGCUCAAGUGUAAAACAAAUAAAACAGCAAAGCAUCAGACCAGUGGAAUUCAAAACUUUAAACAAGUCGAAGUUAUUAAAAAAAAAUUGAAGAUAGCCAAAAGGAAUAUCGAAUUACCCAAAAUAGUUAAGAACUUCAGCAAUUUGAUCUGCUAAGUCAUCUGCAGAAAGUACAGGAUCAUCAGGGCAAAUUGCAGCAGCUCCUAACUGCAACUCUUGAACAAGGUCCCAUUAUGAGAAGAAUUCAUGUGGAAGUAAAAAAGACAACGUACUUGUUGGAAAGUUCAGUUUCAUUGAAGCAACACCAAAAAAAAAUUACACAGUAGAUUAUUUUGUACAUAGCAUAGAUUAAAAGAAAUUCACUCGUACAAAGUAAUUUAUUUUAUGUAUGUGUGUGGAAAAAAAAAUAAUGACAUCAGUAGAGAUAUUAGAACAUCCCAAUUAUACAAACCUCGUGUCCGGGAGGGCUGAUAUGAUAUAUGCAAAAGUUGUGAAGCAAUAACGAACAAGCUUCUGGACAAAACAUUAAUCCUUGGAAGCAGAACAUAUCUGAUAAAUAAUAAAACAUAGCACGUUUAAACAUUGGUAACAGGAAAAAUUAAAGAAAGAUUCUAAAAAUCAAAGUCACAAGUCAUAGAAUCAUUUCAUUUUAACCCCAUAUCACAAUUUAUUAACCUUACUAUCCUCUUUAAAUAACUUAUUUUUGUCUAUUUUCAAAGAAUAAGCUUGUCUAAUAAAAAUAAUGGAUUUCAAAAGCUACUAUUAAAAGAUUUAACAAUUAUGUGGGUGAAAACAAACCAAAAAGGCAGAUGUUCCAGCAAAAGGACUGUAGAUAAUAGAGGUAAGAAUAACCAAUAUUCUGGAUUCCAAAAAAUUCAACACGUUAAAUUUAAAACAAAAACUCCAUCUAAUCAACCUUAAACUCCAAAGUGUGUCUAAUUUAUUCAAAGACUCCACUUCUACACUCAAAAUCAUGUUUUGAAUAACAAUUUACAUGACACAUUCUACAUACUCACGAUUUAGAGCUAAAUCGGGAUAAGUGAUUAAAGCUGGCUUGUCCAGGUCUCCAACCACGGUGACAGAAACAACACCAUAACAGGUUUUCACAAGAUACUCCUGCCAAAAAAAAAUCGAUUGAAGAAAUAUUAGUUUUCAAACGUAGUCAUCUGAACUAGAGAAUGGACGCACCAAAAAAAGGCGGCAAGUAAUACAGAACCAUAAAAUGAACUACUAUAAAAAGGGAAUUGCAAAAGCUUAAAUAUAAGGAAAUUCGCAGUUGAAGACGCAAACAAUAAAACAGAUUAAAGAAAGUUAGUCUACUAAAAUUCAAAAUGUAUUUCUAAACUAGUAAAAAUCCCAACAUCCAUCCACUUUUGGUAGACCGUUGAAUUCCGAACGAAAAUCAACACCAAUUACCCUUAGAAAAUCUAACUAAAAUCAACAAUGCACAUCCAAAAACCUUAAUUACCUCCGUGUAAAACGAUCACUAAUUACACGAAUUCAUCCAAUAAAAAACAUAACGAACCCCAUGUUUCAAUUCAAUCCAAACUUCCCAGCAUGUUCUCAAAAAGCAAACAAAGCACAGUGUUCAAACACAUGAAACCAGACGGAUUUACACAAGCAACAGGAAAUGCAGGUACCUUUCCUCCACAAGAGAUCGACUCCAUAUCCACCGAAACCGAGUCGCUCGAAUCCCCCAUUUCCUUCUUCCCUUAUUCUCUCACCUUUCUCUCUUCCCCUAAAUCCUCCUUCCCUUAUUCGCUACUCAAUACACAGAAUGCUCCUUCUUCCUUUUAUAUACCACCAAAUCUCUUCAACAAUUCCACCACUACAUUAUUUGGGGGAAAAAUUUCAACUCGUCCCUUCGAAUCGUCCGAGUCAAUACGAGUCACCGACGCCGCGUUCCCCUUCCAUCGCACAUUGACAGAAACCUCACGAGCGCCCUGUAACGAACAAACUAUAACCCGAUACCCUGGUUGGUUUAACCAUGGUUAGGAAGCCGACAGUUUAUUUGAAAUUACUUAAAUACCCACAAUUUCCCUUGACAGCGACCUCCUCUCUUACCACAUGAAAAAGGGCGAUUUUCGUCUAUUCACGUUGAUUUUUUAAUUAGUAAUAAAGAGGGAAAUAGUAAGUAGUUAAGCUUUGACUAAGGAAGAGAUAAAAUGAAAAUAAAAUUAAUAUAAGGGAAGUGUUAUUUUUAUUUGUGGGACCUGCGUUUAUUUAAAGUAACGUAAUCAUUUAUAUUAUAAAGUAUAUAAUCUGUCACAAAUUUUGGGGAGAGGUUUUUCCUUAUUUUUCUUUUUUCAAUUAUUCCAUUUAUAAUAUGGUAUUGUAUUUUUGUUAUUUAUUGCAUUGCCUAAAAGUGGGGAGUGGAUUUAAUGAAAAUAAUUUUAGAGGAUCUACUUGUUUUUAAAUUAGUUUCUGUUUUUGUUAAUUUUGUUUAAUUACUUUUUUUUGUGCAUAAAUACAGUUGAGUUUUUAAUAGUAUUGUUGCACCAUUAAAGUUAAAACCUUUUCUUCUUCUUUUUCUUUUUAAUAAGGUUAGUUGUCAUAUACCAUAUUUUCUUGCCCUAAUAGAUUUCAUCCGUUUAUUGAAUAAUAAAUUAUUGCCUUUUUAAUUAAACUUUCUAUAAUACUCUAAAAAAAUAUCAUUUCGGGAUGAUUUUGUUUGGUAUAGGUGUGAAAAUGAUAGAUUGAAUCUCCAACUUAGUGAAGUAUAUGUGAAACAAAGUUCAACUGACAUUAGAUGUGUAUUGUCACAUUCUAUGUUAAAGGAUACCGAAUUCAUGAAUCUUCAAAACAAAAAACAUUAAACAAUAACAUGCAUCCAAACUAUUGUAAUAUUUUCGUGUGAAUGGUGUUGCUUGAGCGAACAUUUUUUAUAAAUAACAAUGAUGAAAUGUUACAAUUCUAAAAAAAAAUAACUAAAUUUUUUUUCAAUUUUUAUUACCCUUUAUUUUAUUAAAGAAAUACCAUUGAAACCCUUCUUAGAGAUUUUACUUACAGUGUCAAUUAUUUACGUAUAUACUUAUAGAACAAAAUCAUUAAAAUAUAUAAUUUGUUAGGUGUAAAUACAUCCUUAAAUGUUAUAUUUUUUUACGAAUUUUUCCUUAAAUUUGUAUAGAUUUAAAAAUAUUUGAUGUUAUAAGUUAAUAAAAGAAAAUGGUUGAAAAAUGGAAGAAUGUCCACGUGUAAAACAUAAGUAAAGAUCUCGACCGUGUAAUGUUUUAAGGAAUGCAAUCGAAAUAUUUUAUCUUUCAAAUAAAAUAAUACAAAAAGUAAAAAAGAUAUAUAUAUAAUAUAUAUAUAUAUAUAUAUAUUAAUAAUAACAUUAACAUAAUAUGUUUAAGAGAAGUGGAAGCAUAUAAUAUGUUAUCAUUCUUAUCCUCUUUUCUCUUUAUGCUUUACUCUGUUUUGGAAUUUUGGUCCACUAAAGAUAAGUGAAUGCUUCUUUCUUUCUUUUUCUUUUGAAAUAUUGAGAGAAAGAAAUGGUUGAUCAAAAUAUUAUAAUAAAUAAGUAAAAUACAACAUUUUGUUUUAUAUAUGCACGUUAUAUAUUUCACUAGGUUUGGAAAAUGAUGCGAUAUAUGUAACUCUAGAAUAUCAAACGUGGAGGAAUUUUAUUUGCUUAUUUGAUAAAGUUCUUUUAAGUUGAAAAGUUCACGUUAGUUUGUAAUUAAAACUUAAAACAUCGUAGUAAAGAUGAGAAUUAUCUUAACACAUGCAAUGUAGUGCAUCGUUUCUCAUCCAAACUUCAUUGUAUUGUUUGUUCUUCGUACUUCAUAUUGCAAGUGUAUUUUUAAGGUUUUUUUUUUCGUAAAUUGAUAAUACAAUUGCAUCAUACAAUUAAGCUAAGUUUGUUUGUUCUUUUAAGCAAAUUAAAAAUUAACAUGGUGUGUCUCGUACUGUUUUAAUUUUAGUUAUACUUGUUAAUUGAACAUUAUUAGACAAUUUAAUUCAAUAGUUGAUUUGUUAUAGGAUACCUUAUUUAAAUUAUAUAUUUAUUAUUUUGUUGAACGAUGAAUCGAAGACUAAUAUAAUACAUAUGUGAUUAUGUAUUUUUUUUCAAAAUGUGAAUAUAUUGCUAUAUUUAUUUGUUAUAAUAAAUCUAUUUACAUUCGAAUAAAAAUAACUAGUGAAUUUUGUAUCUUUUCAUUUAAUUUGUCUUCUAUAUCUCACAACAAUUGUCAUGCAUGGCAUGAGUUGGUCCCACGAAAUUAAAACAGUGAAUUGAUUGAGCAAAAUAACUAAGUUGGAUUUUGAUGGUUAUUAAGCAACGAUAAAUCACACAAUAAAUUAGAUAUUCGACGUGCUCUUAAGAGCAAUAUAGAAAGUAGAUAGUUAUUACAAGAAUAAACGAUGAAAUCACGUCAACAAAGUAAAAAGAAAAAGAAAAAACAACACAAUAAUGUUGAAAUUUUUGUUUAAUCAUAUUUUAUACUUUAUCAUGUCAAAAAUUAAUUAUGUACUCUCCAUCAACAAUCUUAAAACAAAGUCUUUAGUUUUGUAUAAAAAAAAAUUGAUUAAUAAAAACAAUUAAAUAUGGUAUAAAGUAAUUUAUAUAAUAAACCUUUACACAAUUUAAAAUUAAUAAUAAUGCAGUAAAUCGUGAUGUUAUUAGUAAAGGAAUGGACAAAAAAUCGCACGCAUGUGUCACGUGAUUAAUUAUUAAAUAGUAAAAUUAAACAUACCAAAUCACAUAAUGAUUUUAAGGUUGGAAAAUGAAUAUAUUUAACCAUAAAGUGUAGUUAGGUGAUGUUAUUAUUUUGGAAUUUAAAUGGGACAUGUAGUGCCUUUCCUUAAACUAGAAACCAUGACCAAAAAAAUUACUGAGGACGCAAAAAACUAUGCUAUAAAAUAAAAAGCAACGUCUGAAUUGAAGUUCUAAUGUCCUUCCCCCAUCAACAACAACCAUUAAUAGCUCCACCCCAACUCAACACCAAAAUCCUUUUCCAAGUUUAAUCCUUAGAUCUACUCAUCCAUUCUUUGUUAUACUAAACCUUUUUCACUGUUACAUCAAUUUUUUCAAAAGGUUCUAGAGUCAUCAUAUGACGUUGAAUUUUAUUUUUUUUCCGCUAUCUUCUUUAUCAAGUUUGAAAGGUGGUUCGAUUUUUCAUUUGGUUUAUAUAUCUAGAUAUCAAAUUGAACCAAGGAGAUUUGUUGUAUAUAAAAGAAACCACGUCGAUGUACAUAACAAAAUAAAAAAUCAACUUUUAUUCGAUUCAAUCGACUUUUUUCUUUUGAAAAAUUAAAAAAAUAGCAAAUUUUACAAAAUAUUUACAACUUAUAGUAAAUUUUGUAAAUUCUAGUGAUAGUCACCAACCAAUAGAAUCCAAAUUUUUGUUAUAACUUAUAAAAUAUUUUAGUUUAUUUUGUUAUUUUUAAAAAUUGUAUUCUUUUUAUUUAUCAAAAAGGAAAUAUAUGACUUUUUAGACUAUAUAUAUAAUAAUAACAAAAAAAGAGGGAGAAAUAAGAGAAAUAUGUAAUAAACUAUUUUUGUCUUCUUCCCAUUUAGCUUGCUAGUGCAUGUAACCUAUAUUCUAAGAAAUAAAGGGAAAAUAAUUAUAUUGGGGACUUUUGAAUGGAGAUAGCUAUCUGUUUACAUUAAUUUCAACAUUUACAAGUAAAGCCAUAAACAAUUAAUAUUGAUGAAUUUAUAUGUGAAAAAGCUACCAUAUAUAUUAAAUAUAUAGUUUAAAUUAUGCUAUAUAUUUAUGUUUCUUGAAAUGGAAAACAUGUUAGGAUGGUUACGUUAUUCAUUUUUAACUUUCCUCCUUGAUUUAUGGUUGCAAAAUUCAUAAUAUAACUUUUAAUAAGUUGACUAUAAAAAUCAUUAGAUGUUAUUCGAAUAAUAUCGGUUAAAUUAGAAUAAUAUAACACAUUAAAAAUAUUUGGACACACCAUAAGAUGCCCAAAUUAAAUGUUUAACUAAUACAAAUUAUCUUUUUAUUGUUUGACAACUUAAUUUAAUUUAAAGAGGAAAUUUCUAAUAUAAUAGUUUCAAAAUUGUUGACCACCUAGGCCGCUACUAAGAAUCGUGUGGAAUCUAUAAUUUAUUAAUUAUAAUAAUUAAUGGAAAUGGUAGGUAAUAUAAACUUCUACUAGUAUCUCUUAAAGUUUAAAUUUACUAUAAAGAAAAUUAGAAUUUGAGUGGAAAUUAAAUGGUCUUGAAUUUGGAAAGGUAAUUAAUUCACCUAAAUGGAUAAACAUCUAUAAUUUUUCUUUUUCUUUUCCUUCCAACUCGUAGGCACCUUACUAUGAUGCUAUAUCGAAACUAUACUAAAAUUAGAUGUACUUAUAAAUAUUUUCUAAUAUGCUCUCACUGAUUCCAUGUGAACCCCAAAAGGAAAAAAAAACGUUAAACUUAACCAAAAAAUCAAAAGUAAUUAAGUAAAAUCUCAUCGUCAAUUAAUUUCAAGUUUGGUAUCAUGGUCGAUAUCAGACCAUGUUGAAAAUUUCACACAUUGAACAAACUAAGAAAACUCACACUAAUACACAAUAUAAACCUUGAAUGAAACAAUAAGUAGAUAAAUAUCUCGUUACUCGAACAAAUCAUAAAUAGAAGAUGUGAAAGGGAAUUGAAUGGGAGGGAGGGAGUGAGUGAGAGAUGUUUUUAAAAAGGAAGAAAUAUUUUUGGGAAAAUGAGAGAGGGGGAGAAAGCAAUUAAAAGCAUGGGGGGGACAAUUAAUGACAUUAAUUGAGAGUAGAGGCAUAAAGGUAUAGAAGGAAAGGGGGAUUGGAAAGAAGAAGAAGAAGAAAUGCAAUAAUAGCCAAUGGCAAGCAUGUGAGUGUCCUUAACAAAAGCAUUGAAAAUUGAUUGCCCAAAUGAAAUAGUUUUACUUCUGAUUUGGCGCUCUUUUUGCUGCGGCUAUCGCGUUCACAUGUGCUUCUUCCCCCCUCCCCUCGCCCCCAUAUGUUGCUUACCACUGCCCUAACUUCAAUCCUCCACCGACACAUUUCAAGCCCUUUUUCUUUCCUCUUUUCAAAUAUCAUCCCUACCUCAUCUUUCUUUAUUAUAACAAAUUAUUCUAAACUCUAAUUCAAUAUUUAUAAAAUGUAAUAAAAUUUUAGAUUUUGUAGUGAUAAACGUUUAUGAAAGACUGUUACCGGCUUGAUGAUUUUUGUUAUAUUUGAAAAUACUCAACUUAAUAUCGCUUUUCUUUUAAUAUUUGAGGUUGAAUGUAUGUUAAUUAAUUCGUUUUUCGUUAAUUCUUAGACACUAACGUUAAACAACAAUUAGAGCUAGUAUAUAUUUAGUACCAACUACAAUUGAAAAAAAGUAUAAUAUAUUGAAAUUUUUUAUAAUAAUAAUAAUAAUUUAUAAUUUGUUUUCAAAUCCGAAUAAUUAAUAGACUAAAGUGACCAUUAAUUAUCAAAUAUUGGUUUGGGAAUCAAAACAGAGAGACGUAGAUUAGAUCACAAGUGUGGAUAGUGGAUAAAUAAAUUAGAAGGAUAGAAUAUUCAAUUCAUUCAAACCAGAAACAUUUGAAUAUGGUUCAUUAAUUACUCAUUAUAUUUUAUCUUCGUGAAAUUUAAAUUAACUAGUAUUUAACCAUUUUUCAGUAAAGAUUUGAUCGAAUCUUGAAUAUUUUGGUUCUCAACACAUACAAGUACCAAUUGAAUUUAAUUUUUAUGAAUGAUUCACCAAUAUUACGUUGAAAAAAGCGUUUAAAUUUGUUUCUUUUAAAUAUUGCAAAAAUAAAUUCAAACCAUAUACACUCCCUGUCCUCAAGUAUUUUUUAUAAACCAUAUUAUAUAUAUUAUUAUGUAUUUGUGUAAUGUGUCGAAUAAAUAGUUGGAUGAAUUUUUGCUAUAUUUAUAAUAUAUGGUUUGAAUGUUUGAUAUUAAUGGGUAUUUGAUGCAUAACCAAUCAUUAAAUAAGAAAGAAGAAAAAGGGAAAAAAAGGGGUUCUGCCCAUAAUAAAAUACGUGCCGACAAUUCAAUUCACACUCACCUCUCUAAGCUUCAGAAUAAUUAUUAAAUGGUGGGCUAAUGAUAAAUAGAAAAUAGUAAAACUAUCAAAUUUUUUUUUUUAAUUUCUAUCUCAUGCAUUAAACUAUGUAACAUUAUUAGUCCUAUAGUAACACCUCAACCAAAGCUUAUGAUAUUUAUUUUGACAUUACAUUGAUAUAUUUGAUAAGGUCUCUUAAUCAAGGAUUCUUGAAUGUUAGCUUUUAAUAUGUAUUUGCUUGCAGUGGAUUUUUUAAAUACUUUGUUGUUGUUGUUUUUUUUUUAUAUAAUUAAUAUUUGACUAAAUUGAAAAAGAACACUCAAGUAUUAGUAUAAGUUGAACAAAUUCCUAUUUGUUUUGAUUUAUUAGAAAAAACUAUGGGCCUGGCUGUAGCUCAAUCGUACUUAGAUUACGGGCCGUUCUAUAAGGCACGGUUGGCAGAGCGUAGGCCCAAUACUUGGUGCUUAUUGCUCUGCCUCUGCUUUGCGAAUUGUUUUUGUGAUCCAAAAUACAUCUUAAUUUCUAAACUUGAGGUGCCGAUAGAUAAGUAAUAUGUGACUACUGAUAUUCGACGUAGAGAAAAGUAGUUAUUGACUUACGAAUAAACGUUAGGAAAACAAAGAGUAAAAUCAAAACAAACAUUAUCAAGAAAUGAAAAGAAAAAGUUUGUAUCAAGUGUGUAUCGUGAGUCACUUUUGUAAUGUAAGUUGGCAACAUAGAUUAACAUUAACAUAGAUGAUUCGUACUAAAUUUUGUAGUACUCGAUAGUCAAACUACAAAAUCUAAAAGUGUUUUUUCUUUGAUUAAAUUUUCUAGAUGAUUGGAAGUAAGUUUUAUUCAAACGAGGCAAGAGCAAUAAUAUUACGAAACAUCGAUUUAGUGUUUGUCAAGUCAGUUUUGCAAAGUUUAUCACUACAAAUUGAGUAAAUAUAAUAGAGUCACGUUUUGAAGGCCAUAUGUUAUAUGAGUUAUUUCAAUUGAAUAUACGAAACAACCAAACUCGUAAAAUUGUAAUUUAUUUACACUUUGUAACGUGGAGGAAAGAAAACCUGGAAAAAAGAAUCUAAUGCCAAGUCAACGAUGAGAUGAAAAAUAAGUCAUAAGUUGUUAGAUACAUCAGGUAAAAGUAUCAUAAUAACUUUACUAUUUUCUCAUGGAGGAAGGAUAAGAUAAAUUCUUCCUAUUUCUAAUAAGUUAGGGUAAGAUUUUAUUUUAUAUUUUAUUGACUCGUGACUUAUUCGAUAACGUUAAAUUUUAUCUCGAACGCAUGCAAAAGUUAUAUAUGGUAUGGGAAUAUUAUUUUUAAAAAAAUGUAUAAAUUAGAACCGUAAAAUUGUAUACAUAAAUAUGAAAAGGGAAAAUAAAUGAUUAAAGAAAUAAGUGAAGUAAAUAUUUGAAGCUAAAAAAAUAUUAAGAUUAAGUUAGAAGGAAAAAAUAUCGGAAGAGGAGAGAGACAUAGAGGGCGCCAGCGGGAUGAUGCUAUAAAUAUAAAUUCCCUACGCCAAAGGCGUGGUCAUUUAUUGAAAGGAAACCCAUCCUCUUUCUUGCCGUCCUCCGCUUUUCUCUUCUUUUAGGGUUUCUCUCUCAAACUCUUAACAAUGGCUGACGAAGCUCAGUAUUCAUCUGCUACUGAUACUCCUUCCAACAAGCGCAAGUACGAUGACCAACCUCCACCCCGCCGUCCAACUGGCUUUUCCGGUCCCAUCACUUCCCCUUCAUCCGAUUCCGCUCCCUCCUACAACAACGUCCCUCCCCCUAUGGAUGAGAUCCAGCUCGCUAAGCAGCGUGCUCAGGAGAUUGCCUCUCGCUUGAUUAUCUCCAGCGGUGGCGUUGGGGCUGGUGCUGGACCUGGCGUUGGAGCAGAUGUCAAACGUCCGAGGGUUGAAAACGGCGGCGGGUAUGACUCCUACGACAAGGGUUUUAGUUCUGGUCCAGGUGAUUAUUGUUUUGAUUUUUUUUAUCUUUGUUUGAAUAUUUCAUGGUCUUGCGUGUUUGUCGAAGGUGUAUUGAUUUUCUCACGACUCAGUGAGCUUAAAGUGAGUCAGGUCUUGUAUAUGGGAAGAAAAUAAGUGGGAACACUCGGAGAAAAUCUUGUGGAGUGCUAGUUAUAUAUUUCUUGUUCACAGGGAGUGGGUUGUGUACAAAAAGGUCCAGUGUUCGUGAUUUUCUAGAAGUGGCGUGCACUUUCUUUUAUUGCAUUUGGAGUAGAGCAUACGUAGGGGGAUGAAAUGAAGGUUUCUGGAUUUCAGUUUAGUGGUUUAGAUAGAGCUCUCUCAGUUAUCAGAAUGCCUAUGUUCCAUGUUCUUUUACCCUCGUUUCCUGUAAUAAUAACUUUAAAAUGUGCUGGUGAUGUAUUACGGUUUAAAAGCAAGAAUUGUGUACAUGUUUGGAUGCUCAUUGGUGAUCUUGAUUUGUGUGGAUGCAGACCUGAAGCCUCACAUGUCAAAUUCAGCCCCUUCAGCGAUACCUAUUUCCUAUGGUUUCCAAGGGUCAAGCAAGAAAAUUGAAAUUCCAAAUGGGAGAGUAGGCGUAAUUAUUGGUAAAGGUGGUGAGACGAUCAAGUACCUUCAGCUCCAGUCUGGGGCAAAAAUACAAGUUACUCGUGACAUGGACGCAGAUCCCAACUCUACUACUCGGAUGGUUGAGCUAAUGGGCACCCCUGAUCAAAUUGCCAAGGCUGAGCAGCUGAUAAAUGAUGUUCUUUCUGAGGUUGGUCUUUUCUUAAUUUUGGAAUUUCAUGGUGUGCCUUUGGGAGCGGCAUCAAUAUAAGUUUGUGGUUUCCUGUUAUAACGUUGACAUGCCAUGUAGCAAUACAUUGGUUUGGAUGGAUAAUGGAUUGACUACAGCCUUACCAAGUUUACAACUUUGAACUUUAUUUAUGGGCAAUAUGUUAUUCAUACGUCCGAUGCAAAAUAUGAUUGUAGUUGAAGAUAAGACUUUUUACUUGGCUUGAAAAUGUGUUUGUCUCAUAAAAUUUAUCAUUUGAAACAGGCUGAAUCUGGCGGUUCUGGCAUAGUAUCACGAAGACUAACAGGCCCUUCAGGAUCUGAGCAGUUUGUUAUGAAAAUUCCUAAUAAUAAGGUUCUCAGAAACAUUUGUUUUGGAAUUACCAAGUAUUGCUUGUCUAUCUUGGGAAUGUAAUUCUGUUCACUUUUUGUACUUCUGAUCGUGAAAAUAUUAAUUUUUCUAGGUUGGCUUGGUUAUUGGUAAAGGUGGUGAAACAAUCAAAAGUAUGCAAGCUAGGACUGGAGCACGUAUCCAGGUCUGUUCUAUCUUUAUGUGUAUAUAUGUAUAUAUUACAUACGUCUUUUAGAAGGCUUCCCAAAGCUAACUUCCGUUCCUUUUUAUUUCAAUAGUGCAACUAAUUUUCACUUUCUUUGGUCAUGUAACAUAGAACAUUGUUUUGAAUUUUGAUUGUAUGGCAAUAUCUACUCUUCUUUUCUGUAGGUGAUACCAUUGCACUUACCCCCUGGGGACACAUCUACAGAAAGAACCUUACAGAUUGAUGGUUCAAGUGAACAGAUUGAGUCAGCAAAACAGUUGGUUAAUGAAGUUAUCAGCGAGGUGCGUUUGCAGAUCUGGGUUACAUAUUUAUUUUGCCUUGUUGUAGUUGGAAUUAAUACCUGGUUAACACCUACUUCCAUUUAUUUUUGUGUUUAUAAUGAUUUUUCCUGCUUGUCUUUGGUUAUUUUUUAUACAACUGUUGAUGCAACUGUUCCAUCUUAUUCUGAAACUCCUUUAGUUCUAUUCUCACAAAAAAAAACUCCAGUUUUAUUAAUUUUAGGGUUCUACCUCAACGCCAAGGUCAGCAUUAAACCAGUGGUGUUGAUUGGACGUUGGCAUAUUUGCUUUCCUUACCUUGUAGUUUACAUUAUGCUGUGAUAUGGGAGGCAUCUGGUAUUCAUUGGCUUAAAUUAUACCUCCAGUUUUAUUUAGAAAAUGAUAUCUGCUUCUUGUUCUUGUUCUUUUUUUUUUUUGGUAUUAUGUUUCUCUUUCAAAUUAUGUUUUCUUACACAGGCUUGUUACCUUGUUUUAUUUGUUAUAAUUUUGUAAAAUCAUUCUACAACAUUAUGCUGCUUUUUAUUUCUGGGAGGAAAUAGUUGAGAAAAAAUUCCCGUUUUUAUGUGGUUCUGUCGGACAACUGACUCAACAAGAAAUUGAUUUAUUUUUUUCCUUCACUAAUGGUACUUCUUGGCUCUUCUUAAUUUUACUCUACUAGUGUAAUGGAUCUUCUACAAUUUCUGGCUUAAACACUAUACAAUAUGCUCAGCAUAUGGUGUUCUUGUUCCUUUAACGAACUAUUAAUCUGCUGCUGUGUCUGCAAAUCUGCAAAAUCAUUUAUUGCUAAUGCUAAUGCACUCAUGCUCUGCUAAUAUGCAUUAGCAUUUUGACUACAGUAGGAAGGCUUGUUCUCUCACUGUGCUCAUACUUUCGUCUUUGAGGGGGGCUCCCUUCGUAGGUCUAUGGAAUCAAAUGCUGCUUUGUGGUUUCACUCAAGGAAUUAGAAACAUUGGAAUAUUUCAGCCUGUUAUACUUUUAGAUCUCUUAUAGAUUGAGACAGCUUUUAGGUCUUUUACCCCUAAUCGAUCUGGAUUUGUUAUUAUAUCUGCAAUUGUUUAUUCUAUAUAUCCACUAAUGCAGAGAUGGAGGACAUAAGGUUCUGGGAUUGGAAAGAGGUGAAAUUAUUUUACAGAUUACUGCUUGGUAAUUUUUUGAAGAGUGAUUAUUGUAUCAGAAAGGUUCCCAUUGGUGAUUUGCUGGCUCCUUUGGAUAUUUCAGUUUAUCAGUCAAAUAUUACUCUUAUUAGGUUGUUUAGGUUAUAUGAUAUCUCUCCUAUUUAAGAUGUUAUCAGCCCAUUUGGUAUUAUUCUUGGUUUUAUAUCUAAGUGUUAUAUUAUUGGGAUUAUGGCCUGUUCAACCGUCACAUGUGCUUAUUAAUUAUGUAUCCUGCAACUGAUAUUGUUAUUGGGAACUAUUGUAGGGUUAGGGUUAUUGGACCAUUAGUGACACCAACAUGGAAUCCUUUAUGUUGGUGUUCUCUCAACGUUGCUCUGGUAUGGUUCUGAAUCCCAUAUUAUAAUGAUAUAAAGUGAUGAUGUGGAGAGAAGUUGCAGGUUUAUCUGUUGGAUAUUCAAGGUCUUUAGUAAAAUUUGAAAAGUCACCUUACCAUUCUAUCAUUCUUUUUCUGGUGGUUUACUUUGAUUUGGGAGAGUUUCAUCUUUUAGUCUAUAAAUUAUUCAUUUCUUAAUUGUCUAUUUACUGUGCGUACCAUUUGUGAAAUUAUUUUAGUUUAAUAUAGGCAUGCGGGUUAAUUUGUUGGAUAACUGUACUAUGAUGUAUUUUUGGUACUAUCAUAUUUUAGUGGCAACAUCACCUGAUCGUUCAGUGAGUCCGCCUUUGAUGGAUAUUCCAGAAAGUCCUUUAGACUCCUGUUUUGGUUUAAUUAGUUAUUAUUAUAUGUUUUCCACCAAAAAGAUGAAUUCUCUAAUUAUUAAUUUUUUUACUUAAAUUGACCUUAACAUUGUUCUUGUAAUUGAAGAAUAUUUUCUUGUUUCAAUCUUUAUGGGCUAUCUUUAGUUACUUUGGAGAUUAUGGAUCGUUUCUUACAAAGGUCUGUAUAUGUCAGUGUCUUCUUUUUCAUCGUCCAAAUUGCUUUUCAGCUUUUUUGGAAGUAUUUUUCUUUACAAUAAUUUGCAAUCAAAAUUCUUUUGACUAUAAAAUAUUUUUCACUUCAUAUUCUAUUGGUGUCUGAAGAUAGUGUAUGGGGUUGUUUAGUUUUAGCUUGAUAUCCAACUAAUUGAUUAUUCUAUAGAAGAUUUAAUAAUUGGGGAAGACAUUGCUUUUGUUGUGCUUUGCUAUGAACUUCUUUGCCUUUUGGGGCAAUUAAGUUCAUAUAUUCUGUUCUGUAAAAGCUUUUGUAGUCGUCUGGUUCUCUUUGCACCCAUUCACUUCGAAUAGGGAGAGGUUGAGCUUCUGCUGGAGUAACUCAAUAACUCAUCAUCCAGUACGGUAUGUUGGUGUUUUAUACUCUUCCUAAUGCAGUAUAAGCUCCUUUAAUCCCUCUACAAAACAUACUGACUAUGGUUUUCUUUUUGCAUAUCCUUGAUUUCAGAUUUGGCAUUUUCUUUCCAUUUCGCAUAAUGCAUAUGAAUGUUGUGCUUUCCUCUUCUUACCAUCCCCUACGUUGGUUUCUUACGUUAAUUGAGAAGGAUUCACCUUUGUUUUCAUUUUUAUGUUUAAUCUCUCAGAAUCGCGCGAGAAAUUCAGGUAUGUCAGGCGGGUAUAAUCAGCAAGGUUAUCAAGCUCGACCCCCUUCAAGUUGGGGUCCUCCUGGGGCUCCACCAAUGCAGCAGCCUAAUUAUGGCUAUGGACAACAAGGCGGAUAUUCUGCUCCUUCGUCUCAGUAUAACAUAUCACAACCUCCUUAUCAGGGUUAUUCCCAACCAGCAUCUGGUGGAUAUGCUUCCAAUUGGGACCAGUCUACUGUUCCGCCAAAUCAACCUGCUACUCAAGGAAGUGGUUAUGAUUACUACGGUCAACAGGCUCCACAGCAACAACAGACAGCUGGAGGCCCUGGUGCUACCGGAGACAACAGUGGUUAUAGUUAUGGUCAACCACCAGCCACUACUUAUAAUCAACAGGGUUAUUCUCAAGAUGGCUAUGGUGGUAAUUACCAUGCACCUCAGUCUGGUUAUGGCCAACCGCCAACAUAUGAUCAACAGGGUUAUAGUUCUACCACAAACUAUGGUAAUGUGGCUAACGCCACUCAAGAUGGGCUCAAUUCGUAUGGCUCUCAAGGGGACUCAUCACAGACGGUCCCUCCUGCUGCACCACAGCCCUCUUCAGUGAGUCAGCAAGGUUAUAGUGCAAAUCAACAGCCUAGCCCUAACCCAGGGAGUUACCCUCCACCAAGUCAGUCGGGGUAUGGAAUGACUGCACCUUCCCAAACUGGCUAUGGAAAUCAACCUGCUGCUCAGGCUGCUUAUGGGGCUGCUUAUGGAGCUCCUCAGACUCAGAAACAACCUCCUACUAAUCCUCCAGCCUAUGGUCAAAGCACUCAGUCACCAAGCACCGCUAGUGGCUAUGGGCAACCUGCUGGAUUGCCAUCUGGAUACUCAAGUACGCAGCCACCCGCAUCCGGGUACACUCAACCAGAUUCUGCUUCUCAACGUGCUCCACCAUCCAGUUACGGCACUGCUGCAGCUCAGCCAGGGUUUGCGCCACCUCCAUAUGGUGGUGCUCCUCCAACAAAUCAGUCAGCUUACGGGCAAGCUCCACCACCUUAUGGUGGCUCUUAUGGUGCUGGUUACCCUCAGCCCCAUUAUUCAUCUGAAGGUAAUGCAGGUGGUGCUACUCGUGGGGGCUAUGAUUCUGCAUCAGCUGCUCAGGCAGCGACCCAAAGUGGGGUUGCAAAAGCAUCACCAAAAAGUUGAUAAUAUUGUAUGUGUUUGCUUAGGUGUGUAUGUUGCGGAGAACGUAGCUUUGUUUUUGUGGUUUUUAUUAGACAGGUAGUUUUAUGAGACCUCAUUAAUGCCCGAAUUCUUUACUGUACUUUGUUUUGCUAUGGUUAAAAACGGUUCUGGAGUUUUGUCUCUCUUGAACAAAACACUCUUUCUCUACAGGCGGUGGCGUCUCCUUGAUGAUUUUGAUUUUUGAUUGUGGCGUUGGGGAUUAAGACUGUUUAGGAUUAUUGUAACUUUAAGCUACGGAAAUGGUAAAAUAGCAUUUAUUAAAUAAAAUGUUAGAUAUGAAAAAUUCUUAUUUCAAAUGUUUAUAUGAACUUAUAGCAAAAUAAUACAAAUACAUCUUUUAACAGAUCUACUUAUUCAAAAAAUUAUUAUAAUACUUUUUUCUAUUAAAAUUUAUGCGUUGUAAAAUAUUGAUGUGUGAUAUAUUGUUAUAGUAAAGCUGAAUCCUUUACUUCCAUGUGUGAUACAUUGUUAUAGUGAAUAUAAAUACAGAAGUACACUUGGAAAAACGGAAAAAUGUGUAUGGCAGGUGAACUUCUAUUUCUUUUCUCAGGUAAAUAUAAGUCUAACCCAAAAAAAUUCGGAUCUCUCCCCGCUGUAUCCUAGAUUCUUGUAUAGUUUAAAAGAAAUUAUUCCUAAAAGCCAUGAAUGCUUUGGGUGAAAGUAACAAGAUGAACGCAAGGACCGAACCAAAUAACAAUUUGAUAGCAUAUAGGAAGGGAUCGUGGUCAUCUGCAUCUGUUGAACUUGUGUGGGGUGCCAAUGCCGUUGCGGAUGGAAGGGCUUCAAUUACUGCAUCAGCCAAAUCUGAAAUGAAUGAAGAAUUGCAAUUGAGGGCAGGCACACGGCCCCAGUUUUGGAUUCCAGAUUCAAGUGCCAAGUGCUUAUACUCCAUAUCUAUCUCCUCGAGAGUCUCAAUGUGCUCACUCACAAAGCUGGGAAGAGACAAGUAAAACUAUUAUAAACAAAACGCCACCAGUGCAUAAGAAUAUCCAACUUCACUUAACACGCUUCACCUUCUCCAAGUCUUUCAAAACAAGUAAAACAAAUUGUAAACACGAUCAAACAGCAUACUGCUUAUAACCAGUUGAUUGUUUUAAAGCAAAAAACAGUUGCCUUUUUUAAUUUUGAAGAAAAACCACGUAAACAGCCAAUCUUUUGUGAUGAAGUUCAAAGUUGAGGAACGACCAAGAAAGCCCAAAAUUAUUCAAAGCACUUUGGGCCUAAGGUUCUCCAUCAUUAACACUAGCACAAGGAGUUCGAAAUAUAUAAUUGUCACGUGAAUUAACUUCAUUAAUAUUCACUCUAAGAUCAUAUGAGAACCAAGAUGAGAAGGAUCCCCUGGAAUUAUGAAGCUACAAGGAACCAAAAACCAAACAAUCAAAUUAACAGUUCGUCCUUUUAUGGUUUAUGAACAAGCCAUACCUCACGGGAACGGCUAGGAGACUCUUAAUACCCUUCUGGCCAAGCUCAACAAGAACUUCAUCUGUGUAUGGCUUAAGCCAUUGUACAGGUCCAACACGGCUCUGAAAAAUGUAAUACAUAACAAGAAUAAAAAACCACACGGAUGUAGUUAGGAAAACAAUGAAAUAAAAUGAUAGAAAAUCUGAAUAGUUGUUGGGGCUCAAAAUGUUAAAGAAAAAGAUAGGAAACCAUGCCAAGCUUCAAAUUUAUUACUAACCUGGUAUGCAAGAGUAUGCUCAUUCCCAAUUCCUCUGGCUUUCAGCUCUUGCAUGAUUAGGCAGAUGCACUCUUCCAUUUGAUCUUUGUAUGGAUCUCCAGCAUUCUCAACAUAACUGACGGGAACCCCAUGUGCACUAAAGAAAAUCAUGACCUAAGGUGCAAAUAAGUGAUGCUAUAUUAAGAACUAAUUGACUUGGACAUCCAUUGCUGCAUAAAAAUAAAGCAUCUCUCUAAAAUAAGUUUCAGCAAAAAUUAAGUACCUCUUGAGGAUUGGCAAAAUUCUUCAGCUCUGCCUGCAUCAAGUCAGCCAUUGACUUAAUAUACCCUUCCCGCUGGUACCAGGACUUUAUAAUUGAAACAGGCAACGAUGAGAGAUAUGCAUCUUCCCUGAUAGACAACUCAUAGUCAAUAAGUUAAGUUGGUAGCAGUAAUUUUUUUAAUAAUAACAAUAAAAUCAAAAUAUUAUAAUACUAGACACGAUCAUCACCUGAACAUCUUCUGGAGAACACGAAUACUAGACCCAGUUGUAGAAAUAGAGUACUGUGGAUACAAUGGCAGCACCACAAGUCUUGUUAUCCCAUCCCUCUUAAUCUGCCACACACAGCAAAAGGAACUACCAAUUUUAAACUUCAUUUCAAACAAUGCUUCAAACAAAAACGUGAGGUUACAGGCAUAUUAGGAAAUCCCGUGGUUGGUAGUAAUAUAAAAUUCUUCCCUCCAUUCGAAUUACAAGGCAAGGGGAAUAGAUAAAACAUAGAGCGUACUUGCUGAAUUGCUUCCUCUGUGAAAGGGUACCAAUAGCGCAUUCCCACAUAGACAUUAGUAGACAUGUUUUUCUCCUCCAAAGCCAUUUUAAGCGCUUGUGCCUGCAACAAGUAUUCACAAAUUAUCAAUAUUGAACAUUUGUUUUAUACCCAACUGGGAUAUGCCAUGAUGAACAAUUUGAAGGAAAUAAGAGAGGUCAAUCAACCUGUUCAUCUGUGAUUUUACGCAAAGGUGAGCCACCUCCUAUUGAAGCAUACCCUUCUUUGCUUUUGGGAGCACGGUAUGUAGAUAUUAAUUUUGCCAAUGGCUCUUGGAGGAAACGGAACAACCUUGGGAGUCGGAUAAUAUCCUAUGCAUCAUGAAAAGAAGUAAGAAAAAAGAGCUAUUGGCAUGUUAAUUUGUUGUUAAGACUAGUUGCAUUAAUUAACUAAGAUACCGGAUCUGCAAAUAGAUUGUACAGAAAUGGUUGGACAUCAUCAAGCGUUUCCGGCCCUCCAAGAUUCAAGAGCAGAACUCCCACCUUGUCAUCCACUGCCUGAGAUUGAGAUUCUAAAGCAAAUUCACCAACGGUGAAAGUUCCUACUGAGCAACAUGCUUGCCCCAGACGGCUUUUCUUCUCAAUGGGGCCAGAAAGAUGUAACCCCUGAAUUACAUCUCUGUCACCAUUGGAGCUAGAACAAGAAACCACUAAUCCUGUAGACCUAUCACGAACUUGCAGAUUUCCAGACGUUUUGCAAGAGAAAGUCACGCGAGAUUUCGGCAAAGAGCAUAACCUGAAAACAGGAAAAUAUACAUUGAAUUCCUAACUUCGACAAUAUAACACCUAAACCCCCCCUUAAAAUAUCAGUCACUGCCAUGACAUCCUCCAUACAAUAAAAUAACUAAGAAACUUCCUUCACAUCAACUCCAGCUACUAGAAUCCACGAUCACAUAACUUCACAUUGAUCGAACUAAAAGGACUGAUUCCAAGUAUACGACACGGGGUAACUUCAUCCAAUAAUCAACAUAGAGUUCAAAUGGGGGCGAAAUUUUAAAAGGGUACAAACGAUAUAAACCAAAAUCCAGAUUCCAAAGCAAGAAGAAAAGGUCGGUUAAGAAUUAACCGAUAAGGAACAUGAAGAAGAAGUGAUAUAAAAGAGAACUUACGAUGAAAUUCUUUGAUCCGAAUUGAGGGUAUUGGUGGAACCGUGAAGCUUGAUAUUGGAGAGGGCGAGAGAGGAAGAGGCGGCGUCCAUGGAGUCGAAAAUUGGAAGAACAACGAUCUAAAUCCAAAACCCGAGAAGAAAUUGAGUACAGAUAUGAGUGAGGAAGAAUGGGAUUGGUCGAUUAUAAAAAUUGGAGAAAUGGGAAACGUGGAAUCGGAAGGAGGAAGAACGGUAGAGAAGUCAAAGUUGGGGGAGGGAAGGAUCCGGGAAAUGGAAGCGCCAACCACUCUCCCAAGUCUCACCAUUAUAUAUUCAAAGUUUGUUUCGUGUUGAAGACUCAACGCAUCUACGUGUGGGCCGUACUCCUAACUUUCUUUAAUUUCUAAUUUUCAUCCAUAUAAUUAUAUAUAAAAAAAGUUAAAAUUUAAUUUCCAUAUUUAAAAGUUAGGAUUAAAAUAGAACAUAUUUAGUCAAAUUAAUAACUCGAGUUCCUCUUAAAUAUGUUCUUCGAUAUUUUUACAAAUCUCAUCUAAGUUCGAUGGUACUUAACUUAUUAAGUAGGAGUAAAAAUUGCUUAUUAAUGCUACAUAUCGCUACUAAAAAUUUAUCGAUAUCUAAAGUAACUAAUAAUUUUUGUUGAUUUGCAAUUUUUAAAAAUAUUGCUCAGCCCUACUUACCUAAAUUUUAAUUUUCUAAAAAAGAAUUAUUCGAUUUUUUUGGUAUUUACACGUGUAUUAUGUAGGUAGUGCAAAAACUUCAACAAAAUUGGUCUAAAUUUGUAUCAAAGAAAUUUAGGCAUUUUUGGUACUCACUACAUAAUACAUUUGUUCUGAGUGGUUGUUUGAUCCUUAUCUAAAUUACGAAAAAAAUAAAAAGAAUAAAUUGAAAUAAUAAAUAAGUUUCCUAAAAUUAACUAAAUUCCUUCUUUUCACCUUUGUAAAAGGUCAAACGUGGAAUGAAAUAUUAUUCAUUAUGAUCCAAAGAAAGAAGUAAAGGUGUCUAGUGAUAUCUUAUAACAUAGAUCACCAUUGAUAGCAAUUGUUUAUAAGAAGAGUCCAACAUCAUUCUUUCCAAAGAAAAUUCUCAUCCUAUGUUGAAAAUAGAUUAUCGUUCUAGAUAUGAAAAAUGAUCUGUCAACAAAGGUAAUCCAUAUUCUAUAUGAAAUUUUAUUUUGUCUUUUACCAGAUGGGUUAAAAGAUUUUUUUUUCUUCAAUAAAUACACAAGCAACCAUUAGAAUUCACAUCAUUUUACCAAGUUGAUUAAAUCUACACUUCAAUCCUUCUAAAUUUUCAUGGGAUGGAAAUUAAACGAGGGGCGGAGGCGAGGGAAUCAUCCCAUCUUGGUCAAAUUCCAAAUAUACCAAACCUAAAAAUGACCAAACUUCAACUUCAUUUGGGAAAAAAGGGGGAAAACAUAUUAUUUCCAAAUAUAGAGAAAACAAAAAUGGCUGAUGAUACUAGAAAUCAUUGAUUAUAGUGUAAAUUUGAUUGGUUGGAGCAUUAAGCAGAUGUGAAACUUGUCUCAACAGUCCGAACACUACUUGGUCAAAUUCCAAAUUUCCAAUCAACAUCAAAGUCCCAUUCUUUCCAAGAAACUAAUGAGAUUCUCCACUUACUAGACAAAAAGAAGGGUAGGAAGGAAAUGCAUGUAAAUGUAACUCAAAAUAGUUAAAAGUGUUAGGAUCCAGUAGAGAUUAUACAGACGAAAUAUUUUAGAGAAAGAAGGAUACUGAGUAUAUCUUCAUUCGACAUUUGAAAAUCCGGCACCACCUUCCGCUCGAGUCCUGUCCAUGGGCACAAGCUUAGUCAUUUAGGGGACUGAUAGGGUACAAAAGAAAGAUGAGAACAAAGAUAAUAAAGAGCAAGAAAGUCAAAGUGAGCUAGCUCGAUGGUAAGUGAAGUGUGCUAGCUCGAUAGUAAUUGAAAUAUACUCAUUUCUCUUUAGGUUAGAGGUUCGAAUUUUCACAACCCCAUAUUUUAUACUAAUGAGCAUACGGAACUUUCAUCGACUUUUUGAAAAAGAUAAACACCGGAACAAGCAAUGGAUAAGAAACUGUUAAUAGCUCAAUCAAGGGGCAUCCUCAAAUAAGUUGAGUAGACGGAUGUGAUCAAAACACAAGGACAAUAAUUUGAAAGAAAAUAAUUAUAAACAAAAAAGAUGGAUAAGGAGAAUGUAUAGCUAUAACGUAUGCAGUGUCUUCUACCGUGGAGAUUGAACUGAGUGAAAGACACUUCAGAUUAAUGCCUUCUUGGAGCCAAAGAACAAGUAAAAUAUUAUCAAUACCAUCCAUCAAUGGAAAUAGCACUUACUUGUGGUCAGAAGGAUUUGGUGUGAUUUCGUAGACAAUUGUUGCAACAACAUCUCUCUUUAGCUGUUGAUUAAAAUGAAGAUAUUUAGUUAUUUAAAUCAACAAAAUCAUCAACUGAUUCUUGCCCACAACUUUACCUGCGUGGCUUCACCUUUCAACCCAAUGUAGUGUAUCUGAGUCGUGUCACCACCAUAAUUAUCAGGAAAAUGCAAAGUGAUGUUUCCCACACCUUGAAAUUUGGAAUAUCUGAUUAUGUAUAUAAAUUAGCUGUCAAAAAAUAGUUGUAAUCUAACAUUGAAAGAAUUCACAGGCUCGAUAAUUAUAAGGGGAAAGAAAAUGCUCAAUUUUUUUGCUAUCAAUUCAAACAUUUUCAGAUGAUCUGAAAGAUAUGUUCCUCUAUAAAACAUCCUUACCUUGUUUGGUACUCUAAUACUCCUUGCAAAUUCUCAGCCAAAUCCCACUCCUAGAAUAAUAAAAAAUGCGUUACAGUUACAACAUAUGGUUAGGCGUCAAAAUUUCUCCAUGAAUCUCCGCCAGACAUGCUAACAGGUAGUACCUGAACAGCUUGCAUACUUUGAGCAUCUGAGAAGUCAAUACCUUCUCGAUUGAUAAACCUGAUUAUGAAGGAUAACUUGCGUAUAAGAACUAACGCAGGGAGAGAACUAGAAGGGAUAAAACUUAAUAUUCACAUAGAAAACCAAGUGUGUGAAAGUUCCAGAACAUCGAACUUACACCCUCAUCUUUGAAGGACUAGUACCAUCUGGACCACCAAUGAUAGAUAUGCUUUUGAUCUUAACAUCUGAUGUAAAUCUAAUCAUAAAAAAAGUGGUAAUGAAUUUUUAAGAAACAGGGAGAGUGCCAGAACACAAAAAGCGCACACCACAUAUAAGCAAUGUAGCCAUCGCUGCAAAACAAAGAUACAGGCACAGAAAUCUUCAUGACAUAAUAUAAAUUUUAUUAUCAGAUAACUAAAAUUGUUCUUGUGAUAUCUGCUUUCGAAGUUUCAGACCAGCCGACAAACACAUAGAUUCUUAGACAAACAGUUUUCUCUUGGUAGGAACACGAAAUUGCGUUUAGGAAGGGUAUGAAUUUACUAGGUGAAAUGGCUGAGCACCUAUGGGAAUUAUUUAGGAAGGCUAGAAGAAUAAAAAAAAAGGGGGGAAGUCGUGAUAAUUUAUGUCUUCACAAAAUUAUUUAUUUCCAUAUUCGCCCUGAGAUAUAUAAAAGGGAUGGUUGAGAAACUAUAAAUUUUAUUACAUUAAAAUGUAAAUUACGAAUAACCAUUACAAUAACUGUACUUAUUAACGAGUACAUAUCAAUGUUAUUAAGGUAUCAGGUAUAGUUAGAAUCCAAAAGUACAGGAACACCUACGGGAUGAAAACUAGCAGUUCAGGAUCACCCUCGUUGCUUUCCAAGUGAUCCUGUUGUAUAAAAACGAAAUAUAUGAGGCUACUUUAUCCUAGCAAUCGGGUACAUGGCACUGAUACACGCAGAUAUAAAGGUAAGGUACCCCAGAUGAGUUUAACCGAUGCUCCCAAGCUUUAAAUACUGACUUCACACUUCCUGGAGUUGCCUCAUUCAAAGCUGAAACCUAAAAAAAUAGCAGAACCUGUGAUCAUAAAUAAAAUUUCCACCAGUUCCUUUGAGGGAAAAAAAAUUAUAAUACGUGUGGGUUCGACAUGCAAUCUACAAUAAGAGUUCAAGGCUCUUCCAUAAAAGUUACUCAUAAGAUUCAAUUGAUUCCGUCCACAAUUAUCAACUUGCAUGAAACAUGCUAUUGACGGAAGGGGCAAUUGUCAUCCUUGUGUGAUUUUAAGAGUAAUGCAUUCAAAGAAUUUCUCCAAUCUUAAAGAUGAAAAAACUCAACAUCAUUAAUACUUCCACAUAUUCACUCAUAAUCUAACCUCUCCGAUUUCUUCUAGCCUUAAAAUAAACAGGAAGAUUUAUCAGUUUCAUCAAUACUUCGCCCACAGUAUUCAUUCCAACGUCAGCAGACAAUUACUUGUGCCUUAAAAGUUAUGGGGAAAAAUCCGUCAGCAUUGCUAACAUCUACUCAUAAUUGUUCCAGUUAUUGAACAACUCCAAUAAGCUUGCAAGACAAGAUGGCAAUGGAAAAUAAUAUAUUUCUAACAAAGUUAUCAAAUCCCCUUAAUAGUAACCAUUGAUGUUCUUGCUAUGCGUGCUAUGUUUAUCUCUCGUAUAACUCAAAUAUGAAUAAAAUAGUGGAAAUAUUAGCACAAUCCUCUUCCAAUUUCUUCCCAAAUGGCUAGGCUGUAAACCCAACUUGGAAAAAGGUAAUGUAAUUAAGAUGUAACAAAAAACAACAAAAGAAGAGAACCAGAGAUGGAAACAAGAGAACAAUAUUGCACGGACGAUCAGCUACAGUUGAGUUUUGUGUUCAUUUGAAGUGAAAACUAAAAAAAUUAACCACUAAUGCACUAGCUUCUAUCACUAACCAUGAAAUUCUCCAACAUCAUUCCCACUAAGCCAUUAGGCCAGUUCCCUCCAAUUUAGGAGGCACUACCUAAAUUAAACCCAUCAACAUAAAUUAAAACUAAUUACAAAUUAAGUUGCACUAAUUCUUAACCUAAGAAAAACCCAAUUUGCAUGUGAGGAACCAUAACCAACGGCAGGAACAAAGAUUCAGCUCAUUCAUGAGAUCAUGGGCAAUUGCAAUUCACAUAAUAUUUUCCAAGCAGUGUAAUUGGGAAGGAAACUAAAAAAUUAUCAUUCAGCUAAUGGGUAUGGAGAUAAUUAAAAUCCAAAGCCUGGACAAUCAAAUUUCAUAUUGAACGAUGGAAAAUGAUUAUACGAAUAUGUUUGAAGUGAUACGAAGUCGUAAAACGGAUUGUCAAAGAAGAAAAUUCGUGUGCUAGAGGUAGAUACAGAUAUGCACUAACUCUGGGGAGGUCUAUGUGCUUGUAAAGAGACCAAUCAGAAGAACAAUCGUGAUCUUCGCAGCUGUGAUCGUGUAAGCAAGCCAUCUUUGAGGUUCCAGAACAAUAGGCAGAACGAAGAGAGAUUUCAGAGGUAAAAGAGAAAGUGCGAGAUGCUCAAAACGGCGCCGCUUCUGUACGUGAAGGAUUGUUUUCGCUUUGAUAUAAAGCCAUUACAAGAAAACAUCAAUUACAUUUUGUUUGUUUUUUAAUAGCCGUGACUAAAAUAAAUCAAGAGAUUAUAAUAAAUGAAAUUAUCAAGAUCAAGAUGAUAUUUUCUAAUGGAACAAAAAAAGAAAGAAAAAACGAAAAGUUGUAUCCUUAAUUAUACUAAAAAGGAAUAAUAAUAAUCCAUCAACACGUUAUUUGGUAGCCUUCAACAUAAUUAGUGUUUGCAUUCAAAAUGUGGAAUAGAAAUAGGAUCAUGAAACGUCGAAACAAUGAAAAAUUAGAGUUGAGGAUCAUGAAACGUCGAAACGAUGAAAAAUUAGAGUUGAGUUGAGAACCGUGGAAAUGAAAUCAGUUUUAGUAUUACAAAUUCAAUCCAAAACCAAAACAUCCAAUCCAAACUCAUUCCACGACGAGUCUCCAAACCACUGUAAUCGUAUAGGAUGUGUGUUAAAGGAACAAAUUUAGGGUUACUUUGUUUAUAUAUUUUUUUGAAAAAAAAUACUAUUUACAAAUAGAUUAUUACAAAGAUCAACUUGGAUGAGCACCUUCAAUGAACAACUUUGAGAAUUAUUUUAGUAACCAACUUCAAAAAACGACAUACGAUGCCGAAUUUUGACAAUGACCUUUUAUGAUAAUCAAUUUUGAUGGUUACUUCAUGCCACUAACCCUAGUGAAAAGUAUUUUUAUACUCUCCAAUACAAACAAUUACAAUUCAUACUAUUUUAAUUAAUCUACACUCUAAAUAUACAUUUCAUAACAUAGAUUCUAUUUCACAUAUUACAAUAACCAACUCGAAGUCACAAAGAAUCUCGUCUACAAAUCAAUCUCGAGUAGAUAUGAUUUUCCUUUUCUUCUCCGUCGUGUGAACACUAUGUGCCCCAAACAACCCUACUAUGUUGGAUUUCUUAAUUAACAAGGGAACUCAUUUUUGUCCCAUGUGUUCAAUGACGGACGUUAAAUGUACUUUUCAUUUAAACUAAGCAAAGGGAGAGAGAGGAAAAAAAGUUAAGGCUUCACCAAAAAAAUUUAAUUAUUGUUUAGAUGAUUUGAUCAUCAACUUAAUUGACUAAUAAUUUGUAACAAAUAUAUUGCUUAUUUAAAGCUUGAUUUCAAAAUUACUCAAUAAACAAACAGUACAAUCAAUCACAAAAAUUCAACCCUAAAAUGCAUCAAUCGUACAAAGUUUAGUAAUAAACAUUAAUUGAUAGAAAGUAUUCUAUUAUGAUAGUUUUGAGGCACAUAUUUUAGGUUGGAAGAAGCACAAUUCAUAGAUAUAUAAUAACUUUAAAUUGGUCCAUACAAUAUUUUAAUUAAGUGAUAUUGUUUUAGUUAAAUUAAAUUUCAAUCCGUGUAUGAAUUUACUUGAUCUCGAACUUAAAAAAUCUUUUUUGAAAUGUUUACUUGACAUUUCAAUUUGUAUUCAACAAUCUUUAGUUAAUUUAAUUGAUGUUUUUAAACGUUAGAGACUUAUAAUACACAAUAUUAAAAAUUUAUUAGACACAAGUUUUAAUUUUAUAUCUUAAUUGUUCAAUUAACGGUUAAAAGUUACUAUAUGUUAUAAAUUAAUGAACCUAUUAAACACAAAUUUUAAAAUCUUUAUAAAACGGAAUCUCUAUUUCUAAUACAAAAAUAGUUAUGGAUCAUGACAAUAUGUUUGCUACUAAGUAUGCUUAAAAAAUAAUAAGAACAUAUUAACUAACUAGUUAAAAACCAACACUAUUUUUAUAAGUUGUAGGUUGAAAAUUUAAUUCCUACCUUUACUAAAAAAAAUUAGAGUAUUGUUGAGAUGAAAAAAAAAAAAAAAAACCAUAUGCAUAUGGUAAAUUAAAAAGAUAUUUAUUGAUUGAAUUAUGGUAUAUAUCUGAUCUUAUAAGUAAAGUAUAUGAGAAUGGACAUAUUAUAUCAUAAUUUAUCCGUUCUAACUAGAAGACAAUUCAAGUACUUUGGUCAAAGACUCAAAGGUUAAUUAUGAAUGGAUUAUUUAUUAUAUAACUUAUCAUCCACAAAUUAUUUCACUUUUAAUGCAAUAUCCCUUUCUAUGAUAUUUUCUAAAGAAAAAAAGCAAUCACAUUCUCUGCCCUCUUUUAUCUUCUCUUUCUUUCUAAUAAUUAUCUGAUUCGUAUAACUAAAAGUUUAUUUUUCAUUCUAUUUAUAAGUUUUGCGAGUGCACGUUUGAGUUAAUAAAUUAAUCUUGAAAAGCAAUUGACAUGUACGAUUUAGUAUCGACGUCGAACUAAAUUUUACUUUCAAAACAGUGGUUCGAAACGAUACAACAUGAUCAACAAUUAUUUUGUCUACUACUACUAUAUUGUUUCAUUUUACUAGAAUUAUAAAAUAUAGCUAAAGUUAACAUUUAUUAAUUAGUUCUUAAUUUAAAUUUAUUUAUACUUUAUUAUUUAAAUAUACUUGCGUAAGAUUAUAUACCGUCACUGUAGGCAACGUAAUGAAAAACAUUUUGGUUAAUAUUUGAAUAUAGAUCUAUUCAAGAGCUUUCUCUUAAUGUAAGUGAUGAAUUUCUCUUGUUUAACCACGAACAUGAUUUUAACUAUUUUUUUUAAAAGGUCGGUCUUCCGUCUUUAAAUAAAACCAAUUUAAAAAUCACCUCCAUUCUUUAUUUGGAGAGUUUAUGAUUGAUCUCUUCCCAAACCACUGAUUAGGGUAAAUUUUAGAAAUAUAUUUUAAUAUCAUAACAAAUAUUAAUUAAGCCAAUAAUAAAGAUUUGAUUGAUAACAGUUUUACUAAAGUUGAAGAAACUAAAAAAGAAUGAAAAUGAUAUUUUAGUAUUAAAAAGGAUUGAAGAAAAAAGAUGAGAAAUGGACGGAUAAUAAGAUUCCACACCCAACCGCGAAGGAAUCUCGCCUAAUAUUGAUAUUUGCUAUUUAGUGGGUCAUAGCUUUCCCUAUCAACUUCAACUUGCAAUGUAUUAAAGUUGAAAAAAUGACCGCAACUAUUAUCAUUACACGUGUAAGGUCAGGAUUCAUCACCAGGGGCAACUAAGUCUUUUACAAAAACCCGCAAGAAAAUUUCCAAUUUUCUUUUUUAUAUAUAUUAAGUGAAUUUGUAAUCAUCGUUCUAUACCCACCGUGUAGCCCAAGUUUCCCGGCAACUUCAUGGCUCGAAUCCCCACCGGAGUUUUACUCUCUCUUCUAUUCCUUGCCGUAAUCGGUCUACCUGCCGGAGCCCGGGACCUUCCCGGUGAUUUUCUCCGGUUGCCGUCCGAGGCACUGAAAUUUUUUCGCGGAGGAGCUUCCGACGCUAGCGACGAAGACUCCGUGGGGACGAGAUGGGCUGUUUUGAUCGCUGGUUCUAAUGGAUACUGGAAUUACAGGCAUCAGGUUUUUUUUUCUACGAUUGAUAAGUUGCACUGACUUUAAUUCAUUUGAUAAGUUUGUGUUGUGUUAUGAUGUUGACCUUUGUGAUUGAUUGGCGUUUUCGUGUUCGUAUUUCAUACUUUUUACCCAAAAUGUCUGUUGUGCAUUAUAUCUGUUGCUGAUACUUGUCUGAUCCAUUUUCUCACUGCUUUUUAUUUUUAACCUAAACUUUAUCAUCGGUGAUUCUUCUUGGCGUGAGAUCGAUUUUUUUUUUUUUUUCCAGUUAAACUAAGUCUGCAUUCUUUUGAUCUUUACUCUUCGUCGUCUGCUUUUUUGAUCGAUUGACUUUUUUCUGUUUUUCGAUUAAGAAAUUGUAGUAGUUCUGUUCUUAUCCGUUUCAUUUUUUUCAAUACAUAUGUUCUUAGUUUAUUUUAAAAGAAAAAAAAUAAUUAAGCCUUCAAAUUAAUUAAAUAUUUGUUGCUGUUAAUAAUUCUUAAAAAUUGAGCUGAAAUUCUCGAAGAACAUGGUUUUUUCAACGCCCUUCCAUUUGUCGUUGCUACCAUGUGAUCGAUAUAACUUUUCGAUUUUGCUCCAAAAUAACCACGUUACCUGUAGCUACUCUCAAACAAAGUUUCCUUGUUUAUAAUUGUCAUGUUGAACGAGUAACUGAGCGUUUAAGGCCUAACUGCAAAAGUUUAUUUGAAGGCACUUUUGAAAAGUUUUAUUUCUUGUGUUUGUAGUGACUUUUUUUUUAUUUUAACAAGUAACAGUUAUUUUCAGUGCUCUAUUUGGGUUGCAAAAUCUCAACUCCAUACUAGCCAUAGUUUAAAUUUCUUGGUACUAAACUGGAGUAAUCUUUUAUACUUCCUAUGUAUAAUAUAUAUGUAUAUAUAUAUUCAUGAAUAUCUGGGCUAGCUGAGGCACACAUGAGCAUUUGGGUGUCAAGGAAACAGGCAGGAUAUUAAAUUCUACGUAGGUGGUCACCAUGAAUUGAAUCCAUAACCUCUCAACCAUUUUUCAAGGUCAAUAUAACCAUUUAUUAUCUUAAUAAAAAAGAGUUUGUGACUCCUCUAUGGAAAGUAAAAAAGAGCUAUAAACACAACCAGUAAUUAAAGUUACAAAUCAAAGGAGAGAAUGGAGAUAUAAUUAAGAAUUAAUAUAAAUUUGUUGAACAAGCGUAAGUCAACAGAGUCUAGGUGCUACUAUUCUGCUCUCAACCUUGUUUUAUUAUGUGAGUGUCGUAGAUGGUUUAAUUGAUUAAAAAGGCUUAGAGAAUGCUGAACUCAUUUUCCACCAGGCUGAUAUCUGCCAUGCUUAUCAAUUGUUGCGGAAAAAUGGGCUAAAAGAUGAGAACAUCAUAGUCUUCAUGUACGAUGACAUUGCCUUCAAUCCAGAGAACCCAAGACCUGGUGUCAUCAUCAACCAUCCAAAGGGUUCUGAUGUUUAUCAUGGAGUCCCGAAGGUUUUCUUUUUCUCGUUGCCCUAUCGAUUCUAAUUUUACGCCUGAUUCAUCUGAUGGUAGCUACUUAUGCACUCUACGUUUUGGCCAUGGCAGGAUUACACUGGUGAAGAUGUUACCGUGAACAACUUUUUUGCUGCCAUUCUUGGAAACAAAACUGCUCUUACAGGGGGUAGUGGGAAGGUUGUUGACAGUGGCCCUAAUGAUCAUAUUUUCAUAUACUACAGUGAUCAUGGUGGUCCUGGUGUGCUUGGUGAGUGGCUUGUUCUGUGUAGUUCGCAUACUAUUUGAGGUGACCUAUCAUGCUUAUCUGGCACCAUCUCUUUGGAUAUGUUUGUUGCUCGAUGUGCUUGAUUUAUAUCUGUAAACAAUAGCACGAUUAGUUUACAUUUCCAUAUUAUCUUUUAAAGGCAGCCAACCAACCAAAAUUCAAUCUUAAAAAGCGUGCUUUGAUUUGAAACUGAUAGUACAGCCUCAUUUACCUAGGAAACACUUAUUGGUAUCAUUAUUGUAAAAACAUUAAUCGAAGAUAAACUUGUGUUAGAUUUCUCUAACUAGUUUGUUACUUGAUGGAUAAGAAAUUUCUCAUCUCUGAUAUAUCUUGUUCAGGGAUGCCUACCUAUCCUUAUAUGUAUGCUGACGAUCUUAACAAAGUUCUAAAGAAGAAGCAUGCUGCUGGAUCCUACAAAAGUUUGGUAUAUUAUUGUACUGUUCAUUGCUUGAGACUGCAUCUGUCCUUAUAAUGUAACCAUAUAUAAUGAGAGUGGAACUGUUUGUAAUAUUUUAGGUAUUCUAUCUCGAAGCUUGUGAAUCAGGAAGUAUCUUUGAAGGUCUUCUUCCUGAAGGUUUGAACAUUUAUACAACGACUGCAUCAAAUGCUUAUGAAAGCAGUUGGGGUACUUAUUGUCCAGGGGAUUAUCCUAGUCCUCCACCAGAGUAUGAUACUUGCUUGGGUGACUUGUACAGUGUUGCUUGGUUGGAAGACAGGUAAAAAGAUAAUAGUAGGCUUGUUCUAUUGUUUUUAUACUUUGUUAUUUUGUUAUUUUGUUGUUUUUGUUUUUGUUUUUUGCUUGGUGUUUUAAUUUAUCAGUAAAAGAAAAUGAUAUCAAUGCCGAAAUCCAAAAGGUAAUGUUUUUUGAUGUUGUGCAACUUUGAUUUUGGGCAUUUGUUCUGAUUUCCAUGUUCUCAUCGUUAUAUGUACUGCCGCACCAUACUUCUGGUGUCUAGUGUUCUGUCAAGCCGAAGAAUGAGUCUCACAAAAUUAUUAGAUCCAAAAGCAGAUUAUUACCUUUUAAAUAAGGGAUCCAAACGCAAAUGACGUGAGUUAAAAUAAUGAGGAAGUGGUUUAUUUUAUUCAGAACCUCAAGAUUUUUACUUUCGUGCUGUAACAGUGAUAAUCACAAUUUGAAGACAGAAAGUUUACGCCAGCAAUACGAACUGGUAAGAAUACGUGGACCUCCGUUUUAGGAGAAAUCAACUUCCCAAGUUUAAAUUUGGUUCUUAAAAAUGAAAAAUUUUCUACCAGAUUUUUUCAUCCUUUUGUAAUUGUACUAAAUGUACCAAGUCUAAAGGACAUUUUAGUGUGUUUAUCAAAAUGAAAAAAAAUCCCAUUAUGCUCGUUUGAUCUGAUUUGAACUGUUGGUUUCUUCAGGUGAAAAAAAGGACGCUAAGUGGCCAAUAUGCCUAUGGUUCCCAUGUCAUGCAAUACGGUGAUCUAAUGCUCAACAAGAACGCUUUGUUCUCAUAUCUGGGUACUGAUCCUGCUAAUGAGAACAACACUUUUGUCGAGGAAAACUCCUUGAGGCCAGCUACAAAGUUCACCAAUCAGCGUGACGCUGAUCUGGUCCACUUUUGGGAGAAGGUUAGUUUCUUCUUUUUCUAUUUUCAAAUGGAUAAUAUAUGAACCCUGCUUGGUAUACUAGUAUAUAGUAAAUAAGUGAUAUUUUGAGGUUCGCCAAAUUGAUAAUAUUUCCUGUUUUAGAUAGUGAGAACAAAGCAUUCUUGUGCGUUAGAUCCAAUUUUUGAGACUUUUGUGGCAAUUUUUUAAAUACUACACUUGUCACCUCUCUAAUGUAGGGAUUGUAGUAUUUACUUGUUAAUCUUGGGUUUUUUCUUGCUUAAAAUUAAUUUUGGUUUCGACAUCAUUCAAGACCCUCUCACCCCAUCCGUGCUUGUUGAUCUUAGUUUCGCAAAGCUCCAGAAGGCUCCCUGACGAAAGUCGAAGCUCAGAAGAAGUUCGUGGAAGCAAUGUCCCAUAGAGCUCAUAUCGAUAACAGUGUGAAGCUAGUUGGAAAGCUGUUGUUUGGAAUUAAAGAAGGUCCUGAGGUGCUUGAAGCCAUCCGUCCCGCAGGAAGACCCCUUGUUGAUGACUGGAACUGUCUUAGGAAUAUGGUAUAAUUUCAAUAUAAUUGGAUACUGCACAGCCCAUUUCAGUCAACCAGUCAAAUGAUGUUUAGUUAUAUUUUUACUCAGUAUAAAAGUUAGUUAAUUCUGAAAUGAUUCAAUACAAACAGGUUAGGAGCUUUGAGGCACGUUGUGGAUCUCUGUCUCAGUACGGAAUGAAACACAUGAGAUCCUUUGCAAACCUAUGCAAUGCUGGAAUCAGCAAGGAGCAGAUGGCGGAGGCAUCGGCGCAAGCUUGCAUGAGUGUCCCUCCGGGCCCUUGGAGCUCUCUACUCAAGGGCUUCACUGCAUGAUGACGAAACCCAAGUCAGUCAUCGGAUUUGGAAGUACGUUUCUCCCACCAUUGUUUAUAUCACAUCUAUGUUCAAAUGGGUCUGUCGACGACAAGUCAUUUGUAAAUAGAACCACAGGCCAUUGUGUUAGGUGAGAAAAAAGGGGCAUAUAAUUGAAAUGUUGAACUGAAGAAAUACGCAUCUGUUUAUAAGAAGAAGGCUCUGGUUGUGUUGGCAAGAACGAUCAAAAUUCCAAAUGUAUUGAUUGUAUGUAGUAGAAUUAUGGUGUGCUUUUUACAUUGAAUGACAAUAUAUUUUCACAUGAAUACAAAAUUCCAACCUCCAAAAGAAGAAAAGUGAGAAAACAAAAAUGCAUGAUUGAAAUAUUGGUGAGAAAAGGCAUAAGAGGUGGGCUAUACUUAUAGAUGGGAUAUGGGUGAGAAGGGUAGGCUCCACUCCUUUCCUCCUUCACUUGUUUAAACUUUCGUCAAUUUUAAAAGUAGAAUGGGGAGUUUGUGGGUUGUGGUAGUUGAAAAUGGUUAGAUGUUUUGGUAUAGAAUUUAGUGGGGGAAGAGAUAAAUCCACAUAUUGGGAUUAUUGGGAUACUGUUUGUGUGUGUGUGUGUGUGUGUGUGCCCCCAUUCUCCACCUCCCUGGAUCCACAUUCUUCUAUUAUUCCCACUUUUGCACGCUUUGUUUCUUUCCUUUUAUUAUUUUAAUACCAUCUAAUUUCAUGUUCUUUAACUUUAUUGUUUUAAUACCAUCAAUUUAUAUUGUAAAAAAAAAAAAAAAAAGAGUUCCUUUUGCAUCUUAUCUGAAUGUGAAUGUUGGUUUCUAUACUAUAUUUGUAAUUUUUUUAAGAUAUAAUGAAAAUAUGAUUCACUCUUUCAUCAUCUUAAUAUUGAGUUUAGUUAGAUAGAAUAUGUAACAUUUGUCAUCUUAGUAAUUCUUUUAAUCGUGGCUUUAAAUUUACUUUAUUAUUUUCUCGUUGUUUAGUAAAGGGAUGGAAUAUCAAUUAUUGAAACUCGAUUUGGUUGUUUUGUUUAAACCCCAAAUUAUGAAUCAGAAUUGGUUCCAUACAUAAUUCUCAAAAUCUCAUAAUUCUCCAAGAAAAUAAAGAUUUCAAAUGUAGUUUCUGGUCUAUAGAACUUUAAGUUUUUUUACUUUUAGGCUUCAAUAAUUUUUUUGUUUGUUAAAAUAGUAUUCUUUCAAUUUUUUAUUAUAUAUAUAUAUAGUUCCUAGUUGAAAGGAAAAGUUGAUUAAGAGGUAUAUGUGAUGAUUUAAUAAUUUAUUCGAAUGAUUGUGUUUGAAGAAAUUAAACUAGUUGCCAACUAUAUGAAUCAAAUGAUUUUGAAUUCAAAGGUAAUAGUUAGGGAAUUGGAUAUUUUUUUUUUUCUAGUGGAGCAUCUAAUGAUACCUUUUUCAAUAUCAUUAUUACGGAGAUGAAAAUAAAAAAUUGACUCUUGAAUUAGAAUUAUGUCAAUUACUAACAAGCUAAAUUCACCUUUUCAUUAAGAGUCAACGAGACGAAAACUAAUAUGGAUACAUACUUUUGUUUAAAUUCAACGAGUAUGAUUUGAUUAUUUUGUUUCUUUUAAAAUGAGUAUGAUCUUAAUAUUACAAAAUACAAAUGGAUGGACAAAAGUUUCUUAUUAAAAAAUCAACCCCACUACUGAACAAAGGCACCAAAAGAAAAAGAAAAAAAAAAGAAGAAAAUCUUCUUCAUAUGCUCUCUCAUUUGGAAAAACGAAAAGGAACAAAAGUCUUUUUAUCUUUUUCUUUUUUUCCUUCUUAAAAAGUAGAUAAAACUUCAAAUAUGGAAAAGGUAAAUUCACAUAAUGACUAAAAGCAUUUUUAUUUCAUAACCUUUAUUUAUACAUAAAUACGCAUGUGCCUUUAUUGGUAAUCUUUCUUUGUUUUUGUUUUUUAAUUGGUUUUUAAAAACUAAAGUGUAUUUGGUAACUAAUUCACUUUUUAUUUUUAUUUUUUAAAAAAAAACUUUUUUUAAAAUUAUAAAGAAAAAUUGAAAAUGAAAGGACAUCUUUAAAAUAACAACAUUAUCAAAUAUAUAUGGUUUUUAUCUUUAUAAAAAAUUAGAAAAUAGAAAAAUGAAAACAAAAAUAAAAAUUGAAAUGGUUAACUAAACCUGUUCUAGAAGUUUAAAAAUAUAAUGAUAAUUAUAAAUAUGUUUGGAGAUUUUUAAAAGAAGAAGAAGAAAAUUGACGAAUUAUUUACGUAAUCCACUAAAAGUCAAAAUUUAUACACUUAUUUCUCUACUAAUGAUAAAUAUUCUAUUUGUAUGGUUUUUCCCUUUUUUCUUUUUUUGGUAGAGUGGGGGCUCGAAAAUGAAGUUUAAAUAAAGUUAUGUGAUGAACUAACAAUAGGCUAAAAAGAUAAAAUCUUAUUAAAUUUACAUAAUGUUUUUUAAAAAAACGAACUCAUUUAUUAAAUUUGAGGGUACAAUGGUGAGUUUGAUGUGAUUUUUUAGAAGUUAGGGAAGGAGUGGAAAGUGAAAAUAAAUAUAAGCUUAUAAUUAUUAAUAAACAUGAGAAAAGUGCUUUGCAUUAUUAGGAAGUUUACAACAAACUCUAAUUUUUAAUUUAACUUGUUUGUUUCUAAUUAAUAUAAUAUCAACUUGUCAAUAUUUGAACUUUUAUAUAACAUUUCAGUCCUUACAUAUUCUUUUAUAACUUUUAUAUUCUCCAUUUAAAUCCUUUGACUAAUUAAAACUUUUAUUAUGUAUAAGGAAAAUUUUAAAAAAUAAAAUUUAUAAUUAUUAAGUAAGCAAGUGAAUGGUACGAAACAUGUAAGCCUCAAAGUUAUUAUUUCAAUUUUAUUUUAUCAUCUUUUAAAACACGUUCGAUGUUGAUGAUCUAAGCUUUUUACAGUUCUUGGUAUAUGAUUGCAUGUGUAAAGAGUUUAAACCUCGAGUAGGGAAGUAGUUAUACUUUCCUUGAGGUCUUCAAUCAUGACAAGAUUUUUAAUUUUUAAAUUUUUAGAAUUAAAGUUUUCAUAUAUAUAAAAUAAAUUUAUUAAGUAAUUUUGUAUGAUUGACUCAAACGAAUGGUGUCUCGUUUAUAUAAUAUUAGGAUUUGUGGUAAAUAAUUUAUGGGAUGGUUUUGGAGAUGAAAAAAAAGUAAAAGAAUAUGAAGAAAUAUAGAGUUGCAUUUAAUGAUUGUAUUGUGGUGUUUUGAAACAUCACGACUCUCUUCCACAAAACGUUUUCUAAAAUCACAAUGGAUAAAGUCAAAUUGUUGGUGAAGAAUCCUUUGUUUUUUCCAUUAAUAAUUGUAUCUAUCAAAUUUAAACUUUAUCCAUUUUUAUAUUUUACAAAAAUCUACCUACCAAUCAUAAAUAAAAUUAAUUUACAUAUUAAUCAUAAUUAACUAAAAAAUGCAAUAAUACAUUAGAACACUACCACUACAGGUUUUAACUAUGCCAAAUUAGUUUUAAAACUUUGAAAUAUAUGUAUAUACAUUAUAUGGUAAAGUAUUGAGGUAGAUUUGUUAGAAUAUUAAUAAAAUAAAGUAUCUAAGUUGAAAAGAAGGUGAAGGGGAGGAAGACAUGCAAGGUGAUUGGAUUACAAACUAAUUACAAACUAGAUUUGAGAAGAAUAGUUUGAAUUUUGGGUAGUAGAAAAGGGAGAAGGUAAGAAUGAAUGGUAGAAAUAAAUAUUUGGUUAAAGGAAACCCUAAUAUAAAUGUUUAUAAAAGAAUGAAUUGAAGGGGUCAUUGAUUGCAGUGAAAUGAAAGUAUUGAAAGUUCAAUAAUUUGGAGAGCCCCAUGGGACGUAUAAUCGGUUUGGGUAUUGACCGGAUACGACAUUACGAAAGCACUUUUAUUCAAAUGCUUUAACCAUGGUUAAUACUCCAAACUAACCAUAGUUAAGUACCCUUCCCGGUUCUAUCUAACCUCUAACCUCUAACCUCUAACCUCUAAGCUCCAAAGCUCUAAAGCUCCAUCACAUCGGCGGUUCCACACGAAAACAAAACUUAAAUAAUAAUAUAAAAGAAUAUUUUAUUUUAUUUUUGUUAGGAGAAUGAACGGACGUUAAAGAUUCCGUCAAAUUGGUUAACGCGGGGGGAUAAACGUAACGGUCGAUUGGAGAAGAGAGGAAGGAGCGGGACUCUCAGUGGACGGAAAAGCAGAUGAUGAAGCAGAGCCGGACGAUGGUUUGAUGGACGGUCAUAGAUGGAUAUUGCUGAACGGUUUAAGCGAUGUGGGACUUGGAAGAGCGUAUAAAAAUAGAGAGUUGAAAGGGUGAGAGGCCAUUUCGUUGUAUCAUUGAGGAAGGACCUCUCUGUACUACUUCUCUUUAAACUUCCCUUCUAACUCUUUCUCUCUCUCUCUCUUUCUCUUUCUCUUUCUCUUCUACAUAUUUAUAUUUCUUUCUCUUGAUGUCUCUGUAAUUAUUUCCUUCAUUUGAAGCUUUCAAAACCACCCAACAGCUUAAAAUUUUGAUAGUAUUACUGGGUUAAUCGAUCUAAGAUGGCUCGGGUCAUUGACGACUUUUAAGGCAUUGAAAUUGUUGUAAGAGAUGAGAUAAUCGACGGGGGGGAAUUUGAAUCUGGGGUCUGUUUUCUUGGCUGAUUCUGUAAUUGAUUUUUUUUUUUUUAAUAAAUUCGGAGUUGAAUUUUUGGAGAAGAGACUUUGAGUUUUGAAGGUUUGAUAAUUGAAAUCAAUUCACUGUUUAAGGUCUUUGUUGUUCUGGGUUUAGAUCUUAUCUUCUGAAAUUAGUUUCUAACUCUUGAAAUUUUCGUUGUGCAGAUAAAUACAGAGCGAUUUUAGUUGUUCGUUUGAGGGGUUUCUAAGAGAUUUGUUACCUUUUUUGAAAGUGGAAGAAGAAUUGGACUGAGAAAAAUGCAAGCGAUUAUCGGACUCUGGGAUUCGGAUUUACAUUUCGCUUGUUUUCUGCGGUGAAAUAAGCAGAUUUCUGUUCUUUGGAAGAGCUGAUUCUUGGGGGGGAGGGGGGCAAACCCAGAUCAGAAAUUUCAGGUACUGAUUGGUUAUCUUCUUGGUGUAUUUUGUAGGCUCUGUUCUUUCUGUUCUAAUUAUUUUCGUCCGAAAUUUCAGGUCUGAUUUUCUUCCUGUUCAUUGCUACCUUCAGCAUCCAAUAGCUAUCGCUUCCUCCUCUGUUCGAAUUCUUAGGGUCUGAUAAUAUGCUUUCAGAAUUUAAAAAUUCGAGUUGCUUCUUCCAUGGAAGGAUCUUCUAUCUCUCUGUGAGCCAUUGGGAAAUCUGGAUCCCCUGUUUCCAUGUGAAAUUCUUCUUGUUUCUUUGAGUUCCUCACAUUUUCAAGAUUUUCCCUCAAAUUUCCUCUUAAUUUCAGACCCAGCGUCUUCCCAAUACUUUUCUUCAGAAACCCAGACCAGUUCGGCUUUUCAAAUUUCGUGAAUUCCGUCUUCGGAUCAUCGAGAAAACCCCAUGUUCUGGUCUCUGACUGUUUGAUGUUCUCCUCGAGUAAAGUUUUUACAGUGUUGAUGGCGAAAACGUCAUAUUUCAGUGCUUGAAAUUUCUAAUCACCUUUGCUCUGUCCAUUUUUCUUCGUAACUUCGGGAUUUUCAUCCGAAUCCAAUUGACUGCAGAACCUGCUUUUUAUCCAUUUCCCCUUUCGUUUCUCUUUGCUACUUUAAUUGUAGAAUCUUCUGAGUAAUCUUUCUUCAGACUAACCCCCUUUUGAAAUGGGACAGGUAGUGUAUAUAUAAUUAAGCAUAUGGAGAAAGAAAAUCUCAGAAUCAAUAGCCAUGGCAAUUUCGUUAGUAAUAAUCUCAACGGGAGGGAUAGAACCAGCGUGGACAGCUCGCUGUUGUUGCGAGCGAGAUCCGAAGCCGCCGUUGUCGCCGUCGCAACGAGACCGCAGCCAACGCCGUCGGAAUUUGUGUUACAAUGGGGAAACCGGAAGCGUCUCCGGUGUAUGAAAGUUCCGGUUAAGGCCAAGGAUGUUUCCGCCGCAGCACCGGCUCACAGAACCACCGUCCGAGUGGACCGGCGAGUCGUUAGAGCCGAUAAAGACUCGAUUAUACAUAACCACCAACCAACUUCUAAUCAUAACCUUAAUCCGAGUAAUGGGUAUUUGAAUCUCCGUCAACGGCCGAUUUCUCCUCAACCGCCAGUUCUACCGCCGCCGCCAGCUCCAUCUCAGCGUAUUCUAAGGUACUCUCUGUUUCUCUCUCUUUUCUUCAACGCCAAUCUUUCGUAAUUUCUUUUUUAAUCUCUUUGAUCGUUCAAAUCUCAUCCGAUAUUUGAGAUUCCUUUUUCCCGGCUAUGGGAUUCAAAAUCCCGAUGUAUUCUUUUAAAUGGGCCUUUCUAUUUGGGCUUUUAUUUUAUUGGGCUUUUUAUUUGCUUGCUGUAACGCACUGCAUAUCUAAAUAUCUAAGAAACAUAUUAUCGCUAUUUAUAUACUCAUAUCAUAAUCAAUAUUUGACAACAUAGUCUAUGAUUAACACUUAUUGGCUACAUUAUUGUAAAAAAAAAUUCAAUAAUCUUUCUUUUUCAAACAAUAAAAAAAUAAUUGUAUAAAUGCAACUUGGUAUUGGAAUCUGAUGAAAUGAUGAACCAAACAUUGAAGGACGCAAUUUAGCCUCGUUGAUUAGGACACGUCUUCCAUUUCUUCCACGUGUCGUUUUCACUGUGGAAUAAUAGCCGUCGGAUCAUCAAUCGCAGUGACCACUGGUGUCCCCAGAGUGUCUCCAGAUCGGCUGCCCUGGAGCGGACACGUAAUCUCGAACUUGUAGAUCCAAAGGCUGAGGUUGGGGCGAGGUAGUCAUGAUUUGAAAAGACAGGUUUGUCCUUAAGAAAAAUCUAAGCCAUUGAAUGAAAGAAUAGAGACGAAGUCCCCCAUUUUGUACGCAAAUUCUAAGCCAGAUUUCCCCCAACGAACUCCAACAUCCUCCAAGGUCAUUCCCGUAAUUUCAGCCCACGAACGUAAAUAAAUUAAAUUUGCUUUUCUUCUUUUUUCCCUUUUUUUUUUUCUUCUUCUUUAAUGAGUAAUCUUUCAAUCUUUCGUGAGAUUUGUUCUUUAGGCCUUUUGUUUUGGUAAUCUAUGUGUGUAUGUCUUGUGGGGUUGGGAGUCUUUUUUUUAAAAAAAAGAACUUUUUGGUGAAACUAAGUAGUAAACAAACAGAGACUGAGUUUUUGUUUUUAAAAAAAUUUGAUUAGGAACUCUGAGAUUUCCGGUACGAUGAGAGCCCAAUCCAACGGCGGUGUCAGAGCAAUUACUUCUCCGGACAGGGCAGCGCCGGAGAAAAAACCACCACCGUCUCAUCACGACCACCACCAUAAAUCCGCCGCUACCUCAGACACAAAAAAAGGUGGGUCAUCUUCCGGCAGCGGAGAACCAACUGCACCGCCGCAAGCGCUGCCGGUUUGGCCACCGAAGUUCGUAAUAGCUUUAACGAACAAAGAGAAGGAAGAAGAUUUCAUGGCGAUCAAAGGGUCAAAACUGCCUCAGAGACCUAAAAAACGAGCAAAAAUUAUUCAACGCACCAUCAAUGUAAGCAAAACACCAAUCCCCCCGUCUUUACUUUUCCAGAUUCGUUCUCUACCUUUUCUUUUAUUGGUUUUAAUUACUUUUUCUUCCUUAGUUACGAACUGAUUCUCAUGCGCUAUAAUUAUUAAUUAUUAAUUAUUAAUUAUUAAUAUCAUUAUUACUUCUGCUUUAAUUAUUUAUUUGAACCCUAAUUUUCUUUUAAUUUUCACCGAAUAUUUAUUUCCUAGUAAUUAUUCAAUGAGAGCAUUAAUUGAAAAUAAAACGAAAAAGGGGGGUGUGGGGGUGAGAGAGAGAUAUUAAGGGGAGAGUUGUGGCAAUGGAAGGUUGAUGGAAUGCCACGUGGAGAGAUAUGGUUUGAGUGUUAUUUACCGGAAAUGAAGGCAUUGUGUGUGGGUGAAUGAAUGGUUUAACCAAUUACUAGUCGACAGAUAGACAAUCGCUGAGUUGUCCCAUCCUCGCCUUCAACAGUUGGGAGUCCUUUGGGUUUCUUUUUCUUUUAUCUAAAUAAUCAUGUUCACAUUCAACCUUACUUUUUGUAAUAAAUUCUUAAUUUCCCUCUUCCCUUUUACUUUUCUAUAAAUAAUAUUUGUAAAAGUAUAUUACAUUUUGUUCAGGAUUUAUUUAAUUUGUGUGUUGGUUUGGUGUUUGGUGUUUGGUGUUUGCUAUUUGGUGGUGGCAGCUGGUGAGUCCGGGGACGUGGCUAUGUGAUUUAACGUUGGAGAGAUACGAAGUAAGGGAGAAGAAAAUUUCUAAAAAGGUAUGUAUUUUUUUUCUUCUAUUUUUUGUGUUUAUUAAUUUGUGAAUUGUAAGAAUUGAUUCUUGUUAUUUGAAUGUGUUUGGGAUGCAGAGACCAAGAGGGCUUAAGGCAAUAGUGAACAUGGAGUCGGAGUCCGAGUGAGGAAAAGAGGAGAGUUUCUGAUCACAUACCAAAUUAAUUUAGAACCACUGUUUUGUUGUGAUUUUGUGGAGAGGAGGGGAAGAAGCUUUUAAUUAUGUGAAUUACAUAAAUAUAAAAUAUAUAUAUAUAUAUAUAAGUUGUAGAUUUUCUCUUGGCUAAUUGAUUUUAUUAGCAUAAUGAAAUUGUAAUUAUUCUAAUUUUUUAGUUCUAAGUUGAUCCUUUUGAUAACGGUUUUCAAGUAGAAAUUACCAAUUCUUAGAUUGAAAAUAGAAAUGAGGGUGGAAGCUACAUUUGUUUAUGGAUUAAAGAGCUUUUUCUUUUUUUCUUUUGUGUAAAGAUAUAUUGGCUUAUCAACUAACUUUUAGAAAAACAAAUCCUCCAAGAAUGAAAAAAACUCGGAUUAUCACUUUACUACAACUGCGUCAGUUGAUUCUCUAUCUUUUUUUUUUUCUUUCUCCUCAUCCUUCUUCACAUACUAAAUCAAAAGCCUAAUUUCCCGAAGUUCCCAACUUUAAUUUCCCACACUUUACACCCACCCCUUCCUCUCCUUCAAACUAUUUCUUUCUUCAACAUAUUUUUUCUUAAAAUUAACACAAAAAAAAAAAAAAGUUUCAUACAAUAACUUAUGAUAACAACUUACGUAAACAGUAGAAGGUAUUUCCUUUGGUUUGACAAAAUCAUAGAGAAUAAUGAAACUAUUAUUUUAUAAUGAAAUUCUUCAAAUGGUAGAGACUAAACUACAACUCUCUUUGAAUCAUAUUUAUUGUUAAUUAGCUAGUUUUAUGAUUUAUAAAUAUAUUACAAACACGUUAAACAAAUUUUAAAAUUAUAAUCUAAUUGAAUUUGUUUCCAAACACAUAUUUAAGAUAAAACAUAAAACAUGAAAUUAAGGAGAGGAAGAACUCUAUGUUACCAAAAUACUUUUCUUCUAACUUUUACAGAAAAAACAUUCUUAGAUUUAAACAUAAUUUUAAAUCUAUAAUGGCUGGAUUGCCAUGGUAUUAAAAAAUUAAAUGUAAAUCAUAAAAAGCUAAUAUUGCAAUAUUUAGAAUUGUAAAUUUCUUGAAACAAUCAAAUAAACUUCAUGUGAGUUCAAAAGGGUAUGCAAAAUAAAUUCUAUCGAGUAUAUAAAAUAAAAAGAAUGAAUAAAGAAAAGGAAAAAAGAACUCAAAAUGAAAAUAUAUUUGAGUUGAGCAUCACAAAGAUCACAAGUAGACUUUAUUAGUGGACAACAGAAAUCAACCAAUAUACCAUUUCAUUAAUAUAAAUAAUUCUCUAUAUGCUUUGGAUUCGUCCUUCUUAGAGAAGAAAAAAGAAAAGCAAAAAAGGCAACCAUGUUCUUGUCAUCAAUUCUCUAGCUGUAAAAAUUGCCAACCAUAAAAUUAUUGGCACCUUUCCCUUUCGGGUUUUCAUUAUUCAUUGCACAUGCCUCGCUGCCCCACAAAUUCUACUUCAAUUGGACUUCUGUUGGUCCAGAUUUCAAAUUAUUAAAUAUGCCUUACAAAUCUUGGAAUUCCACAAUUUAAUAAUCCUCAACUUAAUUCGGUAGUACACAAAAUGAUUUCUGAUGGGGUUUUUUUUUUCUCUCUCUCUCUCUCUCUUCAAGAAGAAAUUAAUCAAUCAAUUACAGUGAGAAUUACCAAAUUGUUUUGGCUAAGCGAAGAAUCUCAAAGAAAUUGUUGCAGUUAGAUAUAAUAAGCGAGUGUGUUCGUAUGAAUGAAUGCAUGAAAGAGUAAAGAAGAAGAGAGUAUUUAAAAAGAACGAAACAAUUUAUUUACUAAUCAUAACCAACAAAAUAUAGCACAAUCGUGAACAAACCAACACAACCUGCAUUCUAUAUAUAAGAAUGUGUAAACAAAAGAGGUCGUCUGUACCAAACGUGUAGAAAUUAAAGUCCCUUAGAAAAACAUCUAAAACAAAUUCCUCCGCGGCGCAAGGUUUUAGUUGAAGAGAGAAAAGAAAAAGAAAAAGGAAAAGCAGACCAUCACAAAUACAUGGAAGAGUCCAUGGCAAAAUCAAUCACCACAUCCGAAGGCCGGUAGCUCAGAUCCUGAGAGUAGAUCCGAAGGCGAGAGCAAGGAAAGCAGCAAGGCAAGCGGAGACGGCCGAAGGAGCAAUGGAGGUGGCAGGGGAGGCCGGACUGGGAGCCGGAGCCUCCUGAGCGGCGACGGAGGAAAGGGCGAAGAUGAGGGCAAUGAGAGCGAGGAGAGAAACUUUGGAGAGGGCGGCCAUUGGGUAAAAGAGGUAAUGGGGGCGGGGGGUUAGGGUUGAGGCGGGAGAGAGGAGAGAGGAGAGAACCGUUUGAUUGGGAAAUGAGAAAGGGAAAUAGUAGAAGGAGAGAUAUAUAGAGAGAAACGGGGAGGUGCAAGCUGGCGAAUGGUUGAAAGACAGCUCAUAUAUGGGUGUGGUUCCCUUUUCCACAAAGAGCAUCGACGGGGAAUAUAUGCAUUCUCUUUCCACCGCACAACAUUUUAGCCAUCAACAACUACACAACAAAUAUAAAGUAAUUUUUUGUUUUUAAAUUCCAUUUUACACCUUUUUUUUUUCUUUCUUUUUCAACGGAUUUAUUCCAUUCAUGCUUUUUUUUUUUUCUUUUCAAUUUUAAACUUUAACGUUUGCUGUAUGGUUAUAUAUAUUAUCACUAUUAUUUUGUUUUUCUUUUUUAAGCUUUUGAAAAGUAGAAAAAAAAUUAAUACGUUAUAAAUUUGAAAAGCAGUAAGUUUAAAAGUAAUAAUCAUCUAAUAACCUUUAGAUAAUCGUUUCAUAUUAUUAAUUAUUUGUCAUAGUUGUCAUAUUCGAAAUAUGUAUAAAAAAAAAAGGUGUGAACUGUUUUAUUAAGUUAGUACGAUAUUUAUCAGCUUCAUUAAGAUAUUUAUACUUACUAAUAUUACGUUGCAAACUAUAGGUUUGGAAGGUCUUUGGAUGAUUUUCAUCCAUCCUAAGUUUAUUAGAUUUUUUAUCAGUAACAUCGAUCUCAUCUAUUCAACAACUUUUAUGGUACAUGUACUUGUUGGGAUGAGAUUAAAAUAUCAAUUUUAAAUUAUUUAUUGACGUUUUAUCUACAAAUUUACACUUGAGAGGAGUAGUUCAUCUAUCUUAUAUGGAGUAUGAGUCACAUUGUUUUUUCCAAUGUGAGACUCUCAUCUUCUCCAACAUGUCCCUCAAGACAGUGUCUGUUUGAGUUAACUUAUAUUGGAUCAAAUACUCAUUUGGAGAAAAUAGAGAAUCGGUUUCUUACAAAUACUCUUGUCUUCACUCUUUAUUUUGGUAUUAGAGCUUGAAAAAUGGCCAACGCCUUUUAUGCCUCAUCCUCGUCGAUGAUUUCAAACUUUAGCAAUCCUCCCCUAAAUCAACUACUAAACCAACAUGUUCCCUCAGGAUGAUGCUUAUUUGGGUUCACCUAUCUUUAACAUAAGGUGACUAUAUGUUUAGAAUCACAUUUUCCAUGAAUUGAAUAGUAAUUGAAUAGUAAUGACUCAUGAUCAUAUAUUUUUUUAAUAUAUAUGGGCACUAAUCAAACAUUUUAGUUCAACAAACGUUUUUUUCAAAACAAUAAUAAUAAACAAUGGACAUUAAUUUUAAAAUUAGAAUAAUGAUAUUAAAUAUCUCUUUACUUCUCAGCUUUUAUAUAAGGUCCAAAUUCAAAGGAUGCUAUUAAAGUUUCAAACAAAAUACUUUUCUUUUUGAGAGAGAUAUUCUUUCUCUUUAAAAUAAAGAUGAGACAAUGGAUGUGAUAGAUUAUGUAUAGAAAUAAAAAUACAUAAACAAAAUUAUUUACAACUAUAAAUAAAAUUAAGAAAGUUAUUAGCAUUAAUCUCAUCGAAUUAAUUUAGCUAACCAAAAAGAAGCAAAACAGCGUCGUUUGGUUCAUAACGUUAAUGAGUCCGUUGUAAAAGUGGAAGAUUCUAUUUGGUUUAGGGUUAGUGGAAACCAUGGGGGAAAUAAUAUUGAAUUCAUCCAGAUGCGACAAUGGCGCGUGUUAUGUACGAUAAGCAUCGAAGGGAUGUGAGAAGAUGGGGACGGUGGAAAAUUAGAGCGUGGAGUGAAGAAAACCCAAAAAGGGAAAGAAGGAAAAGUAAAAAUGAUGGGGGGUGGGGCCGACAAGCCAAUAAUGGGAAAAAUAGUUGUUGUGAACGUGGGGCCCAGGAUAGAGUGACCGCGCUGUGUUGUUAGGAAAUGACAGGUAAGAGUGAUUGGCCACUGGCUUCUUUUUAAUAUGGUUCCAGAAACUUCUUUUUAUGCACGCCAAUAUCGUCCUUUCCACACAAACUCUCUUUUAAUAAGUAAUAACCACUUUUUUUUUUUUUCUUUCUUCUUUUUUAUCAUGUAAAUGCUAUUAUUGUUCGACUAUAUCAGCUUGUUUGUAAACCUAUCAAUUUACAAUUGAUAAAAAAAAAAAAAAAAGAUAAUGAAGAGUCCAAGUUAUGUUAAUAAUCUUCAGUUAGUUCAAUAGUAUCUAGGGUGGUAAAGAUUUAAAAUCGAGUUCAACACCAACAAAGUGAACCAAUUAAGGGCAUUUUUGGCAUUGUAAUUAAAUCUCGAAUGAGAUUCUGUAUAAUCUAAUGAUGCAAAUUUAAGUAGUGUUCGGGUGAAGGAGCGAGAAGUAUUGAGUAAGGAAUGAAACAGUAAAAAAAGAGAGAAAUGGAGGAUUAUGGAAAACAUGUCCUUGGUCAAACGAGCGGUGAAGUUUGGACUAUUUAUCUUUUUGGAAUUUCGAGAACUAUAUAUAUAAAUAUAUUCAACUAGUUUUGAGCAAUACAUAGGUUGAAAAAAAAGAAAGAAAGAGAGAGAGAGAGAGAGAGAGAGAGAGAGGUACUGGGAAGAAAAGGAAACAAAUAAAGACCGUUCAUGCCAACUCCUCAAACUUCAUUCUUAUUUAAAAAGAAAAAGAGAACAGAUAGAUGAGGGGCAUUCAAAUAUGAUCAUUUUCUUUUACAGUGGGAGAUAUAAUAAUUUGCAUAUAAUUAUCUCCUACUUUAAUAACUCAAAUUUGGCUUCUAGACUGGAAAUCAUGACAGGGCAUUCUCCCUUCUCAUCAUACUCUGCAUACUCACCUCCAUUUAAGUCAAUAUCCUCAAAUUUAGUCCCCUCUAUCUGCAAACAAAACAAGGCAACUCAACUUUAGGAAUAAAUCUGUAACAAUAUAUAGCCAAACAAUAUUCUUCAGAAUUCGUAAGUUAAAGCUAAACUAUAUGCCAGCAUGAUUAAAAUAAAAGAGCAAGUAUCUAUGCCAUAUUCUUAAUUUUUUUAUCUAGUUGUUAACCUUGCGUGCCUAUAUUUCGAAAAAUAUUAAUCUUCAAGGACAGAGAGAGAGAAGGGAAAAAAAAUUCUAGUCUCAUGCCAAAACGUUGUGAAUCUGCAUGAUCAACAAGUUAUAUAUGUUUGAUUUUGAAAAAAAUGAAGUUAUACAUGAUCGUGGAAUUCAAAAACAGGUAGGCCGUGUUAAAU